CCCUUGUUCAGUAAUAUGGAAUGACUGGUGGUGGUGGAGAUGCAUAGGAGACUCCUACAACUGGUGGAAGAGGUACAUUUUCGUAUGUUGGCGGUGGCGGUGAUGGCGAUGGUGGUGGGGGUGAUGAAUAGUAGUAAGUUGGUGGUGGAGGUGAUGGUGAUGGUGGUGGCGGUGAUGUGUAAUGGUAAGUGGGAGGGGGAGGUGAUGGUGGUGGUGGUGAUGAAUAGGUAUAUGGUGGUGAUGGUUUUGGUUCCCAGUGUGAAGUCGGAGGUGGAGGAGGUGGAUCAUUGCAAGGUAGGGUAGGUGGGGCAGGAGUGUAUCCACCUGGUGGUGGUGAUGGAUAUGGAGUUUUUGGAUGUUCGUAUGACGGUGGUGGUGGUGGUGGUGGUGGUGGUGAUGGAGUUCUUGGAUGUUCAUAUGUUGGUGGUGGUGGUGGUGAAUGUGGCGUAUACGUUGGUGGCUCGUGAUACACUGGGGGUGGUGGUGAAUGAGGCGUAUAUUUUGGUGGCUCGUGAUACACUGGGGGUGGUGGUAAAUGAGGCGUAUACGUAGGUGGCUCGUGAUACACUGGGGGUGAUGGAGAAUGAUAAACUGGUGGUGGUGGUGAUGGAGAUGGGCGGUAAUAUAAAGGUGAUGGUGGAGGAGGAGGUGAUUGAUGAGUUACUGGAGAAAUUUUAUGCAUAGGUGGUGGAGGACUUCUAUGUUGAUAGGUUGGGGACUUUUUGUAGGUAGGUGGUGGUGGUGGUGGUGGAGGCAGAGGAGUUGAUUGAGGUGGCGGUGGAGAAUGCUUGUUAUGCGAACCCGAAGAUUUCGAAGAAGGUGGUGGUGGAGAUUCAAUUGGUACAACAGGUCUUGUUGGACGAGAUGGCUUUGGUGCUGGUGGUUUGUUGUGAACAGGUGGUCUCUUAGGUUUUUGUGUUGGUUUUGGUCUUGGCUUUGUUGUAGGAGAUGUAGCAAAAUGGCUAAAACACUUUGAUUUCCUACAAUCAUAUGGUUUUGCAUCAUCAGAAGAGCAUUCCUUAGCAGAUCUUUGAUUCUUUUUUCCAGCGAUGCAGUUUUCUUUGCCAUCUCCAGAUCUAGUAGCAGCGCAAACCGGGGCAUCCCCGGUGAAGUAAUUGAAAGAGUAUGUAAAGUUUUGCAACCUAGGAAGUUGGCAAAUGCUGGCUGGUAUAGUACCAGUGAGCUUGUUGUGAGCCACAUUGAGUUGUUCCACACUCCUCAUUCUGCUAACUGUUGACGGCAAUGGACCUUGAAUCUUGUUGAAGCUAACAUCAAACACUGUCAGCUUCUUCAACAUCCCAAUCUCCUGUGGCAAACACCCAGUAAGGUUGUCAUUCAUCAGUAUUAGCUCAUUCAAAGUGUUGGCCAUUUUCCCAAUGCUGGCUGGAAUGCAUCCUCCAAGAUUGUUGUUGGCAAACACGAGAACAGAAACAGGUGAGUUACCCAAGUUCUCAGGGAUGCCAAAGCGGAAUCUGUUGUCAUUAAGGAACAAUGCAUCCAAAUCUUUGUCGAAAAGCUUAGAAGGAACUGGUCCUUCAAAGUCAUUAAACCUUAGAUCCAAGAACUUCAAAGAAGGCAACGAAAGAACCACCUUAGGGAAUCCACCAACAAACCUAUUGUUGCUCAAAUCAAGCUCCCUAAGAAGCUUCAAAUGGCUAAAGGUUUUAGGUACGACCCCGCAAAAUCGAUUCGAGUUGAGAUGGAAAAGAACUAGAUCUGUAAGAAGACCUAGUUCAGGAACUAAAGAACCAGCAAUGUCAGCAUGGUUAAGAUCAAUGCCAGCGACAACUCUUAUAGAAUCAUCAGUUAAUGAUGGUGCACAAAAUCCCCCGCCAUAGGAACAAACAUUUGGUCCUGUCCAAUUAGCUGUGAAGUUAAAAGGAUCAGAAAGCAUAGCUGCUUUCCAAGAUUGCAACGCGAUGUAGGCAUCGCGAAGCUUUGGGUUUUCGAAACUCAACUUGCUAGCAUUGGCCUUAAUGUCAUCUAAAUCAAUAUCAUUGUCACCACCUUCUUGUCCUACAACAGAUGAGAUCUGGAAGGACAAAAGGGAAAUAACAACGAAAGAUAUUAACAUAAACCAGGCGCGGCGGCUAGGAGGCCGCAUUGCUGCUAUUUUGUUGAUAUGAACACGGUGGAAACUAAUUAUCAAGCUAAGAAGAAAUAAUGAAGUUUUUUUCUUGUAAGGUGAAUAGGUUUUUGUUGUGCUGUGUGCUACUUGUAAAGUUUGAGAAGAUGGCAAGUGAACGAAUGAAUAGAUUUGAAUUAAAUAGCAACUAGACACCUCUAUUUAUUCCUUCACAGCUCUUUGCCCCUUUGUGUUUUACUUUUCAUUUUCUCUUGUCAACUUUCCUAUUCUAUUUUCGUACUCGGGAGACACAUUAUAAUGACAUGCCAGCACGUCUUUAAUAAAAUCUUGGUUUAUAUUUGAAUAAUUGACAUAACAUUAAGAUUCUCUGUUUUUUUAAUUAUACAAUAAAAGAAAAAAUAUCCUUGAUUGCAAAUGACCUUCAAUUUGCCAACUAUACUACUCGUUUUUGAAAGGAAAAAAGGAACAUUGACGGUGCCAGAUUGGUGUGGAAGUACUCACAAGGGUUUUAGUAGUAUUUAAAUUUAAUUAUUUAGAAGGGCACCGAUUUCAAUGACUACGGCAGUUUAGUAGUUUGAAUUACAUUACUCCGUUCGUCUCAUUAUAUCAGUCUUAAAUUAGAAUGACACAACUAUUAAGAAAAUAAUAAUUGAUAAUAUAAUUUUAUUAUUUUGUUCCUCUUAAUUGUGUCUUGUUGUUAGUUUCAAUAUUGAUAGAUGGCUAAUAUCAAAGCAUCAUUUAUAUUCUUAAUGGUACUCCUCUUUGCAACAUUUUUCAAGAAUACUAAUAACAAGGAGUAAUCAAUUAUACUAAGGGAAUAAUGAAAAAAAAAAUUAUCUUAUCUUAAUAAGUAAAUUAGGAGAUCAAAUUAGAAAAUUUGAGACGGAGAGAGUAUAAAAUAAUGCAUUCAAGGGCGUGGCCUAUUUAUCGAUGAAGUGAAUUAAGAAAUUAAAAUCUUAAAUACAAAUAUCAUUGACAAAAAAAUACUACAUAAUUUUUUUAUUUGUCCUAACCUUGAUAUGCAAAAUCAUCUCAUUUGUUGUGAUGAAAGAUAUCAAAUAUCUCUAAUAUUGAUAAAAGAAAACAAAUAUCUCAUAAAUUUAAUUAAAAUGCCUGAAAACUAAUUCAAACACUACAGUUACUUAAAAGUUAAUAAGUAAAUAUUUUGAAAAAAAAUUAUACAUAAUUUUAAAAAGAGAGUAAAAUAAGGCAAAAAAGGGGUCGUGUAGUGGGUGAAUUUUGGCAGGCCCCCACGUCUGUCGACUACGAGUAAAUGACAUGCCAGCACGUACCAGGCAAAAGUAAGAGUGGCCCAGGUCCUAAAUCACAAAUUUUGCAAAUUAAAAAAUUCUUCAAACAUUAACCCAAAUUUUUACUAGGUCAGACAUUUGGCUUUGGCCACAUGAAAAUUUUCACUGUGGUAAAAGGUUUUUAAAAACUUUCACUGUGGUAACAGAUGUAUAAUAUAUACUAGAUACCGGUAGCAGUGCAAGCACGGACAUUUUGACAACACUAAUGUAUUUUUUUCGUUUUAUUUUAUUUGACCUUCUUUUUUAAAAUAUUUGUUUCAAUUUAAUUAUCGAGUUUAAUUUGUUCUUCCAAUAACACCCUUAUUUCUUAUUUAAUCUUAUCAUUAAAUGACUAAAUAAGUUGUAUAUAUUUAAAUUUAUAUUUUCAAAGCAUAACUAAUAAGGUUAAUUUGGUAAAGUAGACCGCUAAUAAAUAUUUUUCUUAAUGGAUGUGUCAAGUCUAUAGGAGUCAGCUAAUACGAACCGGAGGGAGUACAAAAGAGAUUCAACUUUGGAAAAGAUUAUUUUCUACCUGUUUUAAUUGUUUAGUAUAGGAGUAAAAGAAAAGAAAUGUAGUACAAUGAACCUAUGUUAACAUAAUAUAUACAUUCAGUGUAGAAUAAAAUUGAGUUUGUUGGACUGGUUCAACCAAUACAAAAGUGAUUGUAUAAGUGGAUAAAAAUCUAAUUAGAUUAUUGCAGCUAUAGUUGGCGGCACGUCUUUCGUUUGGACAUUUCUGAAAAAGUACAUGAUACACAUCUUAUUUGAAAGUUUCAAAUAUAUAAGUUGAGGAGACAUACAUCGAUUUCAAAAUAUUUAUUGUACCAUAAAAUUACCGAAAUAUCCUUGAUAGUCAUUUAAUAAGAAAUAAAAAGAUAUUUAUAAAAAAAUUACUAUCAUGUAUAAUUUAAUUAUAAAUGUCUAAAUAAAAAUAUUAUUAAAAUAAUACAUAAGGACAAAACUAAUAAAUAUAAGAAAAAAUUAAAAUGCAUGUGUAACCAUUUUAUUGCACCAUAAAAAUGAUGACAGAACUAAUAAAUAUAAGAAAAAAGCAAUAUGCAUGUAUAACCAUUCUAUUGCACCAUAAAAUUACCGAAAUACUCUUGGAGUAUAAAAAAUAAGUAAUUUAAUAAGGAACUAAAAAUAUUUAUAAGAAAUACUUACCAUGUAUAAUUCAGUUACAAAGAUCUAAAUAAAAAUGUUAUUAAAAUAAUACAUGAGGACAAAAUUAAUAAAUAUAAGAAAAAAUAAUAUGCGUGUGUAAUCAUUUUAUUGCACCAUAAAAAUGAGGAUCAAACUAAUAAAUAUAAAGAAAAAGAAAUAUGCAUAUGUAACCAUUUUAUUGCACCAUAAAAUUAUUGAAAUACCCUUGGUAGUCAUUUAAUAAGGAACAAAAAGAUAUUUAUACAAAAAUAGUACCAUGUAUAAUUAAAUUACAAAGGUCUAAAUAAAAAUAUUACUAAAACAAUCCAUGAUGACAAAACUACUAAAUAUAAGAAAAAACUAAUAUACAUGUGUAACCAUUUUAUUACACCAUAAAAAUGAGGACAAAACUAAUAAAUAUAAUGAAAAAGUAAUAUGCAUAUGUAACCAUUUUAUUGCACCAUAAAAUUAUCGAAAUACCCUUGAUAGUCAUUUAAUAAGGAAUAAAAAGAUAUUUAUAAAAAAAAGUAUCAUGUAUAAUUCAAUUUCAAAGGUCUAAAUAAAAAUAUUAUUAAAAUAAUACAUGAGGACAAAACAAAUAAAUAUAAGGAAAAAGCAAUAUGCAUGUGUAACUAUUUUAUUACACAAUAAAAAUAAAGACAAAACUAAUAAAAACUAUUUUAUUACCAGAGUUGGCAUAGUGGUUCAGCACUAUGUCCCUUAAGCAAGAGGUUGGGGGUUCGAUCCCCGCCUCUGGCGAAUGGAGCAAACUCUGUGGCCAGUUCCCUACCGCAAAAUGCACUGAUCGAGGAACAGAAGAUUAGUCUCACAGCUGCCGGCUGUGGGAAUACCUUGGGAAACCAAAAGAAAAAAAAUAUAUAUAAGAAAAAAAUCAUAUGCAUAUGUAACCAUUUUAUUUACUACUAUAUAUAAGUAAAGGUUAGGGUGAAUAAAAUUACUGAACUACCUUCGAUAGUCACCCCAACCUUCACUUAUAUAUAGUAGUAAAGUAAUAAUAAUAAUAAUAAUAAUAAUAAUGAAAAAUAUAUAGUAGCAAAGUAAAGUAAUAAUAAUAGUAGUAGUAAUAAUAAUAGUAAAAAAAAUAGUAAUAAUAAUAAUAAUAAUAAUAUAUAAUUACUUAUAAAUGAAGAAUCGAUGUACUACACAAAAAGACAAAAUAGUAGUACAUCCAUUCUUCAUUUAUAUAUAAGAUGGUAUAAGAGUAAGGAGUAAAAUAUAUAAUUAUAAUUAUAUAAACAACUAGGGAAAAAUGGUCGUAUUAGCACAAAUUCAAUAUUGUGAAAGUAAAACUAUUAAUAUACGCUUCUGGUUCAUUUUUUUUAAUCAUUUUAGGCUUUUCUCAAAUCAAAUUACAUAAACCUUGACUAAUAUUUUAAGAUAUAUUUUUUUCAUAAUAUUAUGAAUACAAGAAAGAUGGCAAUUUAUAAUAUUUUUCCUAUCGUUUUCGAACAUCUAAAUUUGAAAUUCAAAAUAUUAUAUUAAUCUACUUUAAUUUAGUUUAGAAAUUUAUCCAAACUGACUUUCAUUAGAAAAAAGUAAUAAGUAAAAAUAAACGAAGGGAGUAUUUUAUAUAAUAUUUAUUUAUUUUUAAUAUUUAAUUCUAAUUUAUUAAUAUAAAUUAUUUUUAAAAAAUCAAUUAAUUUAAAUAUAUUUGAUUAAAAUAUGGAUAUAAAUAAUAAGUAUUUAUGAAAGAAAAUUAUUUAUCUUUCAUCAAGUUCAAAUGAAAAAUUAUAUGGAAGAAACUAGAGUAGAAUCAUUAUUCGACUAAUUUGUUCGUUUUAAAGAACAACUUUUUUCUUUGAGAUAAUACGUCACCCCUCGAACUUAUCUUCCCAACUAACUUUAGCACUUCAACUAACCUUUUAUUUAUUUACCCCUUAACAUCUUUAAAGUGAAUUAAUAUCACCCCUUAAUAUAUAAUACCACUCUCAUAACGGAGAGUGCAUCACACUCACUGACACAUCACCGCCACAUCACCGCCACAUCAGAGCCACGUAAAUAAAGUAUUUUUUUAAUAUUUAUAUAUAUAUAUAAUAGACAUAAAAAUAUANNNNNNNNNNNNNNNNNNNNNNNNNNNNNNNNNNNNNNNNNNNNAUAUAUACACAUACAUAUUUUAAAAUAUAGAUAAAAUAUUUUAAAUUAAAAAAAAUACCCCACCCCCCAUUUUCCAUCUUCUUUAUAACCACUCAUCCCUCCUCCCCCUCCCCGUCCUCCCUCUCGUCUACCCCACACCUGCACACACGCCCCAUCCACCCCUACACUGCCAUACCUAAACACACCCCCAUCCACCUCCGUCCACCCCCACACAACCACACCUAUCAAAUUUUUCAGCGAAUUUUCGCCGAAAAACUUAACCCACUUAAAAAAUUCAAUUACCACCAUCGAAAAAUAUCAUAAAAUAGUGAUAAAAAACUCAACCCACUUGAAAAAUUUGACCAAAUCAACAUCAAAUUCUCUAAAAUCAACAAUCAAACACCCAACUAUGUAAAUUUUUUAAUUUUCAAAUUCAAUUUUAUUCUAUUUUUAUUGAUCUAAGGGAUUGAAGGAGGAGAAAUUAAAGAUGGGGGUUGACAACUUUCGUAAUUAGAGGAGAAGUGGGGUGGGGGUGUUGGCGGGUUUGGUGGUAGAUUUGGCGAAGGAGGAGUGGGGGGAGGGGGGCUGUUGGCGGUUAAAAUAAAAUCACACCCUUCUUUUUCUUUUCUUUUUAUAAAAAAUAUCACGUCAACAUUAGGGUUGUAAUUAAUUCACUUUAGAGAUGUUAAGGGAGGUAAAUAAAUAGGAGUUUAGUUUAAGUGCUAAAGUGAGUUGAGCGGACAAGUUUAUGGGGGUUUUGAUGUAUUAUCUCUUUUUCUUUUAUAGCAAUUCUUUAAUUCUAACUUUUCAAAUGACAUGUUUAUGACCAUAAAAUUAAAUAAUAUAUUAAUAGUACAUGAUUUCUAUCGAAAAUAAUCUUUAUACUUCGCCGGAGAUAGUGGUAUGAAUUGCGUACAUUUUAUCUUUCCCAGACCCCACUAUGGGGGAAUACACUGGAUUUAUUGUUUAUUGUUGUUGUUGUUGUUGUAUUAGUAGUACAUGAUUUAAAAUUAUAAAAUUCAAAAAAUCUUUUUUAUUUUUAAAAUUUUGUGUCAAAUUAAAAUAUGUCAAACAAAUUUAAAUAAAAAACUUUAAAACAAAUUAAAUUAAAAAAAAUAUGAUAAAGAUUAUUUACGAAUAACCCAAAUUAUCAAAUGGGAAAUAUAUGAAAUUAAUUUUACUUGUUAUUGUUCUACGUGUCAGCUUGAAAGUUCAAUGAACCCACCAUAUUUAGGACAUGAUUUGUAAUUAUAAUGAAGUAGUGGACUUUUUUCUAAAAUUAUUGAUAAGUCCCAAAGAACAAUGCAGGUAAUACAAUUUUGCUAAGCAACCGAAUCUUGUAAAAAUUUUGAAGUCCUGGAAUAACCUCAAUCUUUUUCAUUAAUACCCUAAAACUACCAUUUCUACUACUAAUAAUAAUACACAAGUGACAAUAAGCCAUUGAAGCAGGCAACUUGUGGAUGAUAUGGCUGCUUCAGCAGUUUUAAUGGUGAUUUUACUAUAUUAUCCUUAAUUAAUUAUUAUAAAUUAUUUAUAUAUUAAAAAAUUAAAAUGAAUUAAUAAAAAAUUUAAAAUAGACAUUUAUGACAAGAUUGUUUCAACAGUUUCAAUCGUGAUUUUACUAUAUCAUUUUUAAUUAAUUAUUAUAAGUUAUUUACGUAUUAAAAAAUUAAUAAUACAUAAUUAAAAAAAGUAAAUAGAUAUUUAUGACAUGCUUGCUUCAACUACUUCAACCGUGAUUUUACUAUAUUAUUCCUAUUUAAUUAUUAUAAGUCAUUUACGUAUUAAAAAAUUAAUAAUAUUUAAUUAAAAAAUAUAAUAAACAUUUAUGACAUGUCUGCUUCAAUUGCUUCAAUCGUGAUUCUAUUAUAUCACCCCCUAAUUAAUUAUUAUAGAUCAUCUAAGCAUUAAAAAUUUGAUAAUAUUUCAUUAAAAAAAAGUAAAAUAGACACAAAAUUCUAGGUUAACUCUUGAUGUUUAAAAUUAAUUUGACAACUUAUACGUAGUCCACUUAAAAAAAAUUCCACAAGUACCUUUUAUAGUAAUUUUAUUAUAUCGCUUCUAAUUAGUUAGUCGUUGAUGUUAGUAAUUUUAUUAUAUCACUUCUAGAUAGUUAUUAUAAGUCAUUGAAGUAUUAGAUAAUUAAUUAUUAUAAGUCAUUUACAUAUUAAAAAAAUAAUAUUAUUUAAUUAAAAAAUAAAAUAGACAUUUAUGGCACAUCGGCUUCAGCUACUUUAAUCGUGAUUUUACUAUAUCAGCCUUAAUUAAUUAUAUAAGUCAUUUACGUAUUAGAAAAUUAAUAAUAUAUAAUGAAAAAAGUAAAAUAUAUAUUUAUGACAUGCCUGCUUCAAUUGCUUCAACCGUGAUUUUACUAUAUCAUUCCUAAUUAAUUGUUAUAAGUCAUUUACAUAUUAAAAAAUUAAUAAUAUUUAAUUUAAAAAAUAUAAUAGAUAUUUAUGACAUGUCUGCUUCAUCUACUUCAAUCAUGAUUCUACGAUAUCACACCUAAUUAAUUAUUAUAGAUCAUCUAAGCAUUUUAAAAUUAAUAAUAUUUUAUUAAAAAAAUAAAAUAGACACAAUAUUAUAAGUUAACACUUGGUGUUUUCAAUUAACUGGACGACUUAUAUGCAGUCCACUUAAAUUUUUUUCAACAAAUACUUUUUAUAGUAAUUUUAUUAUAUCACUUUUGAUUAGUUAACCAUUGAUGUUUUAAAUUAAUUUGACGACUUAUACGGGGUUCACUUAAUAAAAUUUCAGAAGUAACUUUUAUAGUAAUUUUAUUAUAUCAAUUCUAAAUAGUCAUUAUAAGUCAUUUAAGUAUUAGAUUAUAAAUAAUAUUUAAUAACAAGGAUAAAAUAGAUUAAAAAAAUUAAAAAUUAAAAAUGAUCGGAUAAAGUACUUUGCAAUAGUAAUAUCUGUGUCAAAAAAAGAUAUGAGAGUAGUACACCUAUUGAGAUCUAAAUAAUUAGAUUCAAACAAAAAAUUAAAUCUAUAGUUAUGAUGUAGAUCUGAGUGAUUAAAAUAUCAAUUUUUAUUAGGUACAAUUAAAUGAAGCAUAAAAUACAUAAACAAGGAAAUUAAAUUUUAAUUUUUUUAACAACUUAACAGACUUUUCGUUUCGGUGAUCGACAUGCUUGUCGAUCACUAUUUGCUCCCUAAUUUUACUAUAUCACCCUUAAUUAUUAUAUAUCAUUUACGUAUUAGAAAAUUAAUAAUAAUUAAUAAAAUAAAUAAGCAAAAUAAACAUUUAUAAUAUGUUUGCUUCAGCUACUUCAACCAUAAUUUACUACAUCAUCUCUAAUUAUAAAUUAUUUAAGUAUUAAAAAGUUAAUAAAAUGGAUAAAAAAGUAAAAUAGACAUAAAAUAAUUAAUUAACUCUUUAUGUUUUAAAUUAACUAGACAUCUUAUAUGAGGCUCACUUAAAUUAUUUUUACAAGUAUUUUUAUAGCAAUUUUAUUAUAUCGCUUCUAAUUAGUUAUUAUAAGUCAUUUAAGACACGUCUGCUUCACUACUUCAAUCGUGAUAUUUGCUUAACUCUCAAAAUUAUAUCGGUGUCACGUAAAAUAAAAUAAAAUAAAAAAUAUUAUAAAUUAAAAUAAUUAAAAACAUUAAUUAUUUAAAAUUAUUUAAUAAUAGCAAUUUAUUUCACUGCUUUUAUAAUAAUUUUAAAAAUUUGAGCUUAGCAUGUUGGGCCCGUGCUCAGCACGACCCUGUCACCAUUAGUCUACUAUAUAGAAUGUAAAACCUUUAUAUAAAAAAAAAGACAAAAUUGCCUAAAUAAACAACUUAUGUUUUUAAACUACCAAAAAAUUUUCCACCUCUAAAAUAUUAUUUAAAUACCAAGAUUUAUAAUUUUUUUGGUAAAGUUGAGAUACAAGUUAAAACCUCCUUUUCUUUAGCCGUAACUUUAUUAAAAAUUAACCCAUUCUCUCGUCUUUAUGCGCCUUAAUUCAAGAAGCCGUUUCUAUCCAAUUUCUCUCUCUAAUUCAAAGGUUUGAAUUAAGGUAAAUUUCCUCUCUAAAAUCUACUUCAAUUUCUUCUAUUCUUAUUUUAUGCUUUUUUUUCAAAAAAUAAUUUUACAACUGGAUUUACAAAGUGAUUUUUUCAAUUUUUUUGUUAUGCAAUUUCUAUGAUUAUCGUUUGUUUAGGCUAUAUUGUUUUGAAUUAACAUUAUGAAUAGAGAUUUGGAAAUAUACUGGGUAUGUUGUUGUUGAUGUUUACUUCUCCUUUUGCUAUUGUUUUGAAUAUACGAAUAAGCUGCAAAAUCAUUUAGGUCCAGUAGUUCGGUAGAAUCCUGAAAAACAUUGUUUAUCUAAUUUUUGUUUAUGCUCACACGUCAUUUAUCAAUUUUUAUGAACUUGCAGUUUCGUGUAGCAAUCCAACUGCAAUUUAAUUUUCAUAGGGCAAUCUACAACCUUGAAACUGUUUUGGUGGGUUUAUCGUAGUUGCUCAUUCUAGCUUUUGUACUUGAGAGAGUGGUGGUCAUUUACAGCAACCUCCUCAUUUUUCAAGUGAAAACUGAAAAAAAAAACUUAAACAAUAUGAAAGGAUAAAGUGAAAGUGAUGAUAACUUUCUUUUUGCACUGUUCUUUUACAGUAUGAGUUAGCGGAGGACGUGUCCAGAACAGGGGAGCUGUUAAUACUAAAGAGAUUUCUCCUAAUGAGUUGUACAGCCAGGAUGCGAUUUACAUUGGAAGUUUAAUUUGGUGAGAAACAAUGAACUUUCAGCGUUUUAAAAAGGUAUGUUCUUUCAAAGUUAUUAACAUAUUUAGAUCUGAUAAAUAUUAGGUCGAGAUACAUAUUUAGACAUGGAUGAUACGUUUAGAAAUUCAUUGUUUAUCUGAUUCUUUGUUGUCAAUUUUAUAUGUAUCUUGUAUUUUUAUGUGUUAUUGAAAUUAAUAUAACAAAAGAUACAAGUUUAUAAGUAGAUAGAUACAUGUCGUGUUAACUUAUAUCAGUGAGUUUCUGUUAAUGCUUUGAUGUGUAUCUAGUGUUGUUUUAAUUUUAUUAAAAGUCGUAUUACAAAAGAUACAAGCUUAUAAGUUCAUAGAUACAUGUUGUGUUAACUAGUAUUUGUGAGUUACUGUUAAUGCUUUGAAAUGUACUUAGUGUUGUUUAAAUUUUAUUGAAAGUAGUAUUACAAAAGAUACAAGUUCAUAAGUUCAUAGAUACAUGUUGUGUUAACUAGUAUCUGCGAGUUACUGUUAAUGCUUUGGAAUGUAUUUAGUGUUGUUUAAAUUUUAUUGAAAGUCGUAUUACAAAAAAUACAUAUUUUUUCUUCUAAGAUACAUGUUUUUAAGCUUAGACAUACAUUUUGUAUUAUUUUAUAUCUAAAUUAUGAUGUUCUUAGAGUUUUUGUAUAUAUUGUAUUGUCUUAAUAUAGAUUUGUUGCAUCUCAACUUAGUUUUUUUUUUUUUUUUUUUUUAGGGACUGAAUUACGUUAUAAAGAAAAUUUCACCUCAUCCUCUUAGAUUUGUAAGUUCAUGCAAUUUAAGAAGCAAGCAUGUAGUUGAUAUGAAGCUUUAUUGCUUCGAGUUUUACUAUCCUAAAACAUUAAGGAAGACAUAUGAAGAAGAAUUGAUGUUUUCAAUGCCCGAUAAGAAGGACUGGAUUGUGCCACAAGAAGUUAUGGAUGGAGUUGUGUUACCACCAAAAUACAAACGUCUACCUGGAAGGCCAAAGAAAAACAGGCAUAAGAAAUCAAGUGAAACAAUGAUAUCGAGCAGUAAUUAUUACGGGAUAUGUGGUUAUGAAGGUCACAACAGGCGUUCUUACAACUUCUUUCCAAAGGAGGAGUGACAAUGUAGUUGACUGAUGAACAAUGAUGAAUAGUCUCUUAACUUGUUGGUGGAUUUUUCAUUUAUUUGAUUCGACAUUUUAAUUGAUGAUAUUAUUAUUUUUAAAAUUUUUUUAAGAAAGCAGUUACCGACAUAAAUAACUUUUUUGUUCCUUUGUUAAUUAGUUAUAUUUGGUUUCAUUAUGUAUUUUGUUGUGACACAUCAGAUAGAAAUUAAGAUAUAUUGAACUGACAAUGCUAUUAAAUAGUAUAUUAGUAGUUCUGUCAUAGUAAAUGAUUGAAAAGAGAUACAUUCUUAUAGAAUGUAUCUCACAUAAAUUUAUAGAUACAAGUUUACAAAAUUUGUAUCAAUUAUAAAAUAUAAUUUUUCAAUAUUAUUAAGAUUUAGUAAUAUAAGUUUGGCUUUAGUUUGUUAUGCAAGUUAGAGUCAAACAUGUAUUCCGAUCAACAAAAAAAGAUUAUAGAUACAUUAAAAUGUAAAAAUUUGUUGGUUACUAUCAUUAUAUAUUAAAAUAUGUUUCCUUAUAAUAGAUACAUACAAAUGGAAUACAUGUUCAAAAUGAAAUCAAAUGGAAUAUAUGUUAGAGCAGGCAACUGUAAUGAUUAAAACUGAAAGAGAUACAAAUUAAAUUCUUUAUGUAUCUAAUGUGAUUAAAGGAAAAAUGCAGGUAACUGAAAGAGCAACAAAUGAACAAGAUACAUAUUCACAAAGAAAGAUACAUGUUUUGUUAUUAUAUAUCUAAUACAAAAUACAUUCAGCUAAAACAUCCCAAAUAUCUUUACUGUCAGAAAAUCACCAAAAUUUGACAGGAACAAGUUAACAUUGCAUGAUCUUUAGCUUAAACAAUUAUUUUAAUUUGGGCAGUCAAUGUAACAACCUCAUGUGAUAGACUUUAAUACAUCAUCAUAAAUAUCACACAAUUCGAAAUGCGUAUAGUAAUGAAAAUCUACUUUAACAAUGUUUAUAGAAAAAGUAAAAGUAUUUGAAAAAUCAAUAAUUGAAUAAGAUACAUAUUAAUAUAUGACGAUACAUCUUUUGUUAUUAUGUAUCUAGUACAACAUAAGAACAAAAUAAAAAAUCCAACAGCAAUACUGCAACAAAUAAUCAAAAUUGAUAGAAACAAGUUGCUUUGCAUGAUUUUUCAAUUAAAGAUAUCAUCUAACUUAUGCAGUCAAUCUAAAGAAUCAACAACAGACAAGUAUUUCCAUCAACAAUGUAACGAGCCUCAAUUUUUUUCUGAUUUCGUCUAUUUUCAGUUCUCCGGCAAUUGUUGAAAUCAGUUUUUCAUAAGUUACAUGUUCACUGAUCACGGUUCCAUCGCUCUUAUAGCCCACAUAGUUGAUUUCGUUAACCCUAACACCAGAAUGACGUAACAACACUGAAGUAUUUAUUUCAAAUAAACAAACAAAAUUAACAAAUCAAAAAUAAAUUGAUCGUCUGAAUCUUUGGAACACGCACUGUUUCAAAACAGAUUAUGUGAAAGAUUUUUGAUUAGAAAGGUGGAAUAACAAACGAAUUUUCAUAAAUCAUGGGAUUUUAUUUUAUUUUUACCAUAAUUAGUUAAAUUAAUUGUUGUUUUAAUACUAAGUGAUCCGUUACUUUCCUUAAAUCUUGCUAGUUAGUUUAAUUAAAACAUGUAUCCGUAGUAUGUAUCUAAGUUAAUUAACUUGUAUCCUCAAUGGUCAAAUAUUGACAUUUUAUGAGAUUUUGAAAAAAGUUGAGAUUUUUAGUAAAUAUUAGUAAACAUGUCAUUAUAUAUGUAUUUUUUACUAAAAAAAAAUAAUCAGUAAAUAUAUUUGACUUUCAUAUAAAGAUCCCCUUUUUUAUAGGCUUUCAAAACAUUUGAUUGGUUAACCAAAUAAUUACAACAGCUAGUAAAACGUAUAAAAAUAUGCAUGAAUUAUGUACUCGUUCUUUUAAUUUACAUGACAUAGUUUUCUGUUUAGUUUGUUUUCAAAAAAUAAUCAUCUUUUUUUCUUUAACAACUAGUUAAUGGCACAAUUCUCAUUUUAUUCUCAUUAGGUCCCAUUUAAUAAGAAAAGUCAACCAAAAAAGGUACUAAAAUGAUUUUAAAAAGGGUAUAUUAGUAAACAUAACAAGAUUUUUUUUUUUUGGUUUCUCAUUCAGUGUUCGGUACCCGUAUUGGGGUCCGACUAAUCCAAAUUUAUGCCGUGUAGGGCGCCAUUUGGGGGGAAGUGCUCCCUACCAAGAUUUUUUUCAUACCCAGAGCUUAAACCCGAGACCUCUGGUUAAGGGAGGAGCAGCCCCAUCCACUUCACCACAUCCUUUGGCAGUAACAAGGUCUUUUCUUACUUCUUAACCUCUUGUCCGAUCAAAUUUUACCUUAUAAAUUAAAAUGAAAAAGAGUAUAAGAUAUGUAUAAGCUUCUUUUAAGGAAAAUUACAGUUCCAAUGAAAUAAUUCCCAAGUUAUAUUUGCUAGCUAAAUAUUAAAUUAUUUUUAUAUAAUAUUAAUAUAUGUAUAUUUAUUGAUUAUUAUUUUAAUAAACCACUAGUUAUAUUAAUUUUCUCUUAUAUAAGUGAAGGAUUGGUGCACCACUAAUUUGUCUUUUUGUNNNNNNNNNNNNNNNNNNNNNNNNNNNNNNNNNNNNNNNNNNNNNNNNNNNNNNNNNNNNNNNNNNNNNNNNNNNNNNNNNNNNNNNNNNNNNNNNNNNNNNAUUAUUAUUAUUAUUAUUAUUAUUAUUAUUAUUAUUAUUAUUAUUAUUAUUAUUAUUAUUAUUAUUAUUAUUAUUAUUAUUAUUAUUAUUAUUAUUACUACUUUAUUUUACUUUAUUACUAUAUAUAAGUGAAGGUUGGGGUGGCUACCAAGGAUAUUUCAUUAAUUUUAGUGACCCCAAUCUUUACUUAUAUAUAGUAGUAAAUAAAAUGGUUACAUAUGCAUAUGAUUUUUUCCUUAUAUUUAUUAGUUUUGUCCUAAUUUUUAUUGUGCAAUAAAGUAGCUACACAUGCAUAUUGUUUUUUCCUUAUAUUUAUUAGUUUUGUCCUCAUAUAUUAUUUUAAUAAUAUUUUUAUUUAGACCUUUGUAAUUGAAUUAUACAUGAUACUAUUUUUUUAUAAAUAUCUCUUUGUUCCUUAUUAAAUGACUACAAAUGGUAUUUCGAUAAUUUUAUGGUGCAAUAAAAUGGUUACACAUGCAUAUUGCUUUUUCCUUAUAUUUAUUAGUUUUAACAUCAUUUUUAUGGUGCAACAAAAUGGUUACAUAUGUGUUGGACAAUAAAAUUUUUGAGGCCAAAAAAUAAAUAAUUCGAUACAAGAAAAAUAUAUUGCAACAAUCAAUUUAUUGAUUUCAAUGCGAGUGUUACAAUCUCUAUGAAUCCUCUGAUUCGCCUUUUCAAAUAUAAAUUCAAGGGCUUAAAGCUUGGUCUUGAAUUUGAACUUGAUUUGUUGAUUUGGGGGGCUUAAUCUUGACUUGUGCUUGAAUUCAAGGGCUUUUGAGCUUGUUCUUGAAUAUUGCGGUUUUGAUCUUGAAUCUUGAUGAACUUGAUUUGAAUCCUUGAGCUUUUUAGAGAAAUUACGACGUUUGAUCCACGGGCUUUCUCUUGCUACUUGUUAGAGUUCUUGGGGUCCCUUUUCUGAAUUAUGAGGCCCCUAUUUACAAUUGUAGGAAAUGAAGAGUCAUGAUGAAUAUGGACUUUCUUUGACCAAUCAGAUUUAAGUGAUGUGGCGCCUUUUAUGAGCUUUUAUUUCAUGGACUUGCUGCAUCAAUUUGACAUGUGGCACGGUCCUAUUGGCUUCUUCACUUGACUUGGCAUGCCACGUCAUUUGGCAUGUGGUGCUUAUUUGGGCCUCUAGAAUAUGACAAUAUCUUGGGCUUAGUAAAGUGGUCAUCAUUUGUAGCCCAAAUUAAUGGACUAACCCAAUAAAUAUUGGGCCUUAUUUAAAUCCAUACCUAUUUGGACUUAAAUAAUUAAUUCAAUUAUAUUAAUCCACAAUAUUUAUUUGGGACUAAUAUAUUUUGAAUUUAAUACAAUUCAAAUUUUGGACGGAUUUAAAUUUAAUAAAAUUGCAUCGCCCACAAAUGCCCCCUACUUCAAGACUUGUCGAGACAUUUAAUAUUUGGGAGACUAGCCUUGAAGUAUGAUUAUUGAAACAUGUUUCCUUCGUGCUUCAGUGAUUUUCCAUACAUAAGAACAUCUCAUUCAAAGACUUUAAAGCCAAACCAUAUUGACAUUAUCUCGCAAAGCUCUCUUGAUUUUUUUUUCACGAAUCUCUAUAUGUAAGAUCCAUUGGUGAGACAUAAUAUCCAAUUUCAAACAGUUUUGGAAGACUUUUUAAUUACCUUACUUAACCAGUAAUAGAACUCUUUCUAUUUAAACUUAGAUUGGAGAAGGAAAUAACCUCCAAUUUGGCUUUGUAUAGGGGAAGGAAACAACCUCCAAUUUGAAUUUGUAUGGAAAAAGGAAAUCAACAUCCAAUUUGAAUUUGUAUGGAAGAAGGAAAUCAACCUCCAAUUUGAAUUUGUAUGGGAAAAGGAAACAAUCUCCAAUUUGAAUUUGGAGAUGGAAGUUAUCCCAAUUUGAAUUUAUAUUGGAGAAAGAAACAAUCUCCAAUUUGAAUUUGGAGAUGGAAGUUAUUACAAUCUGAAUUUAUAUUGGAGAAGAAAACAUCCAUCUUACAACUCUAUAAAAGGAGGUAGUUUUUCCACUUUUCAAUAUCAAUUUUGGGGUUUUCAAGCCAUCAACAAUAUUGAGGUAAUUUCUUCCCCUCCUACUUUUCUCUUAUUUUCGUCAUUUUUUCCAGCACAACAUGUUAAUGGUAGAAAAUUUAUAUCUAAUUGUAGAAAUAUCAAAAUUAUGAACUGUUUGAUAUUCCAAAAAUUAGACUUCAAGAUCUAUAACAUAUCUAAAAUUUAGAUUAAAAUUCCUUCAAUAUAAUUCUCAAUAAUUUUUUGAAGUUAGCCCUAAAUUUUAUCAUGCUGAAAAUUUUAGAUCGGCACGUCUUUACUAAAACUUUCAUAUCUUGAAGUAGGAAGGAUGAAAUCACAAGCCGCUUGAUUCUUGUGAAACUAGACACAAAGAUCUAUAAAAUAUCUAAAAUUCAUAAUUUAAUACAAUUGAGAUAUUUUCAGGUGUAAUCCCAAAAUCAACAUUGAGUUUUGAUGCAUCAACAAUUUCAUAUUUACGCGACAUCACCAAAAAAACUAUAUCUCAAAUGUGAGAGUACCAAAAUUAUGAUCCGCUUGAUCCUAUAGAUGCCAUAAACAUGCAUGAAUAACAUAUCCAAAAUUUGGAUUUUAACACUUUUUUAUUGUUCUAGAUGAUUUUUUGAAGUCGAUCUCAUAUGUUGUCCGACAGAGGAUUCCAGAUUUGCAUUGCCUCACCAAAUAAUUUAUUUCUUGAUGUAGGAACAUCACCACCAAAGGGCAUUUUGAUUGCCUCAAACUAGAUUUUGAGGGCUUUAUUCUCAUCAAGGCAUCUUGUCUCAAUCCAAGUUGGUGAUAUACAACUUUUAAGAUCACAACGCUUUGAUAGGUAACAUCCUUUCUAUUUGUGUUUUUGCUUUCUUUCUUCUUUUCUUUUUUUUGUUGUUGUUUUGUUUUAGGAGAAUUGAAACAGAUAGCAAUAUUCACCAAUCGGCUUAGGGUGUGAGAGUUUAACUUCGCCUCCGUCACCUUAAGUCCGAUCAAUUUUACUUGAAAACGGUGGACAUCGGAUUAAGGUGCGAGAGUUUAACUUCACCUUCAUCACCUUAAGUCCGACUAAUUUUACUUGAAGACAGUGGACAUUGGCUUAAGGUGCGAGAGAUUAACUUUGCCUCCAUCACCUUAAGUCCGACCAAUUUUACUUGAAGAUGGUGGAUAUCGGCUUAAGGUGCGAGAGUUUAAAUUCACCUCUGUCACUUUAAUUCCGACCAAUUUUACUUGAAGACGGUGGACAUCGGCUUAAGGUGCGAGAGCUUAAAUUUGACUCCGUCACCUUAAGUCCGACCAAUUUUACUUGAAGAUGGUGGACAUACGAUUAAGCGGUGAGAGUUUAACUUCACCUCCGUCACCUUAAGUAUGACCAAUUUUACUUGUAGACGGUGGACAUCGGCUUAAGAUGCGAGAGUUUAACUUCACCGCCGUCACCUUAAGUCCGACCAAUUUUACUUGAAGAUGGUGCAAUAAUUUUUUUUAAGCAUGGGCCCAUUUCAAUGUUCAGCUUAAGGUGCAAAGGAACAAAUCUUGUCCACCUUAAGGCAUGAAAAUUUUGAUAUCCUUUUAAAGAUAAAUUUGCGAGAGGCCAGCUUAAGGUGCAAAGGGACACAUUUUGUCCACCUUAAGGCAUGAAAAUUUUGAGAUCCUUUUAAGGAUAAACAUGUUAGAGGCUAGCUUAAGGUGCAAAGGGACAAAUUUUUUCCACCUUAAGGCAUGGACAUUUUGAUAUCCUUUAAGGAUAAACCUGUUAGAGGACAACUUAAGGUGCAAAGAGACAAAUUUUGUCCACCUUAAGGCAUGGACAUUUUGAAACCCUUUUAAGGAUAAACCCAGUAGAGGCCAGCUUAAGGUUCAAAGAGACAAUUUUUAUCCACCUUAAGGCAUGAAAAUUUUGAUAUCUUUUUAAGGAUAAACCCGUUAGAGGCCAUCUUAAGGUGCAAAGGAACAACUUUUGUCCACCUUAAGGCAUAGAAAUUUUGAUAUCCUUUUAAGGAUAAACCCGUUAGAGGCAAGCUUACGGUGCAAAGGGACAACUUUUGUCCACCUUAAGGCAUGAAAACUUCAAUAUCCUUUUAGUUAUAGGCUUGGAGAACUUUAGCAUUUCAAAUUCCAUUGAAGGAACUCUUUUUCUUUUCGACUGGUUGCCUUCAUUGAGUCAUAAAUAUUUGGAGUAAGUCCAAAAUUUGAUUAGAAUAGUUUCAUACUUGGCGUUCAUAUGACAGACACUAUAGGAACAUAUUUUUUUGACACUCAUGUAACUGAACUUGGAAUGAGAUUCCAAGAACCUAUGUACCUCAAUGAAGAGGAUCAAGCCACAAUGUAGUUUUGGGUAAGUGUUUUUUUCUGUGUCCUAAGUUUUGCCUAGGCCGCCUCUUUCGAGGUUUUCAACCUAGCGGGCAUUUAUUUGAUUUUUUUUAAGCCGUUCAGUUUAUACUCUUACGGGACAGGAGUAGACAUGCAGUUUAUACUCGUGCCUUAAGAUGUGUACAUGCAGUUUAUACUCGUGCCUUAAGGAGUAUUAUCUUUCUUCAAGGAUAGUACUUCUUCAAUAAUUUGGCGUUAAUGGGGCCAAUCCUCACGCCAUCUACAUAGACGAGCUUGUAAGCACCAUUUGAAUAGGCUUCUUAUAUGACAUAUGGUCCAUCCCACUUCGGGGUGAAUUUGCCCCAGACUUAUGAGAAGUGAUAAUGGGCCUUCUUACUACAAGGACUUGAUCUCCAACUUGAAAGCACCUUAAGCGAACCCUUUUGUUGAAAGAACGAGAUAGCCGGGCUUGAUAACAUUCAAGAUGACGUUUGCAAUAUUUUCUUUCUUUACUUCCUUGAGAGCAAUAGGUUCGACCCGUUUUGAGAAGUAAUCUAUUGUGACCAAGAUGUAUAAGUGUCCACCAGAAAAUUUUGGUAGUGGACCAACAACAUCCAUUCCCCAAGCAUUGAAUAGCCAAGACGCUACAGUUGGGUGUAGUACCUCCAGAGGUUGAUGUAUGAAGUUUGUAUGAAAUUAGCAAGUUUUGCAUCUUCUAGCAUAGUCCAAGCAAUCUUUCACCAUUAUUGGCCAAUAAUAUCCCAUCCUUUUAACGUGAAAAUGGAGCUUCGGUCCAAAUUUAUGCGAUCCACAAACCCCUGAGUGUGUUUCUUGCAAAGCUUGAAUUGCUUCUUCCUCUCCCAAACACCGUAAGAGUACUUCUUCAAAUGAUCUUCUGUACAGUGUGUCUUUGUAGUAAAGAAAGCGAGGUGCACAAUGACGAAUGUCAGUCUUUCUCUUUGGAUUUUCUGGAAGUAUCCCAUAACUUAAGUAAUCAAUGAUAGGUUGUCACCAAUCUUCUUUUACAACUUCAGAAAUGCAAACGAGGUGUUCAACCUUGUUUUCUACGUCCUCAUAUGACGGCGGUACUACCCAUUCUUGGCAGAUAGUAACUUGGGCCUGAUUUGUAAGAGUCAGGGCAGAGGCCAAAGCAGCUAGGGAAUCAGCUUACUUAUUUUCUCUCCUUGGCACAUGUUGGAAGGUUACUCCUCCAAGCUACCCCAUUAACUUAUGUGCAUAAUCAUGAUAUGGUCAUAGCUCAGGCUUUCUAACUUCAUAGCUUCCCAAAAGCUGCUUGAUCACCAAUUGGGAGUCACAAAAGACUUGUAAUUGCAGUUGUUUUAUGUCAAAUGCCAUCUCAAGUCCAAGUAUCAAAGCUUGAUAUUCAGCAACAUUAUUAGAGAAAUGAUUUGUUAGGGUAAAAGAGUAUGGAAUGACCUCUUCUUGUGGAGUGACGAACACCACACCGGCACCAGCUCCAUCUUGAUGUACGGCACCAUCAAAGUACAUCUUCCAUGGGGGCCUAGCUUCAAUGACUAUUGUAUCUUUAUCAAGAAGUUCAUCGCUCAAUUUCCAAUUAUCAGGUAUCGGGUGGUUUACCAAAAAGUCAGCCAGUGUUUGUCCCUUUACAACCUUUUGGGGAAUGUACACAAUAUCAAACCGCUGAAAUUGAGGGUUCUAUCUUGUAAGUCAAUCACUAAAGACUGGUUUCGACAUUACAAACUUGAUGGGAUUUGUCUUAAAUACAAAACGGACAACAUGAUCUUAAAAGUAGUGUUUCAUCUUUUGAAUUGAGAAGGCCAAUGCCAGACAUAACUUUUCAAUUGGAGAAUACUUUAGCUCAUUCUAUGUCAUGAUUCUGCUCAAAUAGUAAAGAGAGUUUUCUUUGCCUUCACUAUUUUCUUGAGCCAGUAGUGCUCCAACUGAACUCUCUUGUGCCGCGAUGUAGAGUAUCAAUGGUUUCCCAGGUAUGGGUGUCUCAAGAACUGGUGGCUUUAUUAAGUAUGAUUUAAUACUCUCAAAGGCGUUACUACAAGCUGUGUCCCAUUCGAAGAGAGUAUCUUUGUUUAUGAGAUGACUAAAUGGUUAACAUUUCCCGGUCAAGUUUGAGAUGAACUUCCUUAAAUAUGCUAGCCUUCCUUGAAGGCUUUUUAACUCAUGAAUAUUUUGAGAAUCAAGAAUCUUCAAAAUCGCAUUAACUUUGUCUUGAACAAUUUCAAUUCCUCGUUGUCACACAAUGAAGCCAAGAAACUUUCCAGAAGUUACUCCAAAGGUACAUUUCAAUGGAUUCAUCCUAAGUUGAUAUCUUCAAAGUAACUCGAAUACCAUUCUUAGGUCUUUUAAGUAGUCGUCUCUCUUUCUUGACUUCACCACUAGACCAUCCACAUAGCAUUUAAUAUUUUUAUGAAGCAGGCCAUCAAAGAUGUUCUGUAAAGCCCUUUGAUAAGUGGCGCCGGCGUUAUUCAAACCAAAAGGCAUCACCUUAUAGCAGUAAAUACCUUUGGGCAUACAAAAUGCAGUAAGUUCUUCAUCCAUUGGUGCCAUGCGGAUUUAAUUGUAUCUGGAUGAACCAUCCAUGAAGGACAUUGCCUCAUAACCAGUGGUAGCAUCAAUCAUCAACUCUAGUAUGGGGAUUAGAAAGUCAUCCUUAGGGCAGGUAUUGUUGAGAUCCCAAAAGUCGACAGAACAAUACUUGAAAUCCAAAUGGGAUAUUUGACUUCGCGAAUAAAGCCAGCUUCAAUGAGUUUGUUAACUUCAUUUUCGAUUAAUGGAACCAACUCUGGCCUAAAACGCCUUUGAGCUUGCUUAACAGGACGAGCACCAUUCUUGACUACUAACUGAUGGACUGCUACUUUCGGAUCUAAGCCAGACAUUUCCUUAUAGCUCCAAGAGAAGACAUCCAUAUAUUAUUUGAGUAUGUCCAUAUAAGCGACUUCCUCCUUUUCUUCUAGAAAUACACUCAGGCAAGUUGGUCUUGGGUCUUCAUGAAUUCUAAGAUUAACUUUCUUCAGGGGAUCUAUUGUGGCCUUUACUCUUUCUUUAAUUUGAGAUGGAGCAUCUCCAGCAUCUUCCUUCUAUGGAGGAUCAUCGUCGUUGAUGGAUAUGUGGUGACACCAGAAAGUGUCCUCUAUCUAUUCAUCAACCUUCAUUUGAGAUGACCUCAUUCUCAUUUUGGAUCGAAACAUGAUAUGAGGAUCCAACACUUUCUCCAUAUUCCUCACGUUCCUUGGUAUACACCACGGUAUGAGUAUUAGCUUUUAAUACCUCGUUGCAUAAAACUACCAGUUCUGUUUGUCGCCUCAUUCUGGAAGGGAUCAAACUUUUGAAAUCGUUUUGUAUUUUAAGUGAAGAGUGCAUCAUCGUGCUUUGAUGACUUCUAUUAUAUUUAUUGCUUUUCUUCUUAUUUAGAGUUCCCAACCUUUCAAACACAGAAGUUAUUGCAGUUGACCCUCCAAGUCAGUCAAAUACAGAGGGUCUUUUAUUAGCAGCAGUGGAUUCUUCUUCCACGGUGAUGUAAUUACUGACUGCCCUUCUUAUGGAGAUGCAAAUUGGCGGUGGCUGUGUGUAUCCUAGGCCUUCACGUGCCUGGCUGGUUGUAACCUCUAAUGAAAGUUUACCAAACCUUAAUGGCUCAUUAGGAUUGUAUCCAUCUUUUACAAAUAGCUUAUAUGCAUUUGGGUCAUAGCCUUCUUUCAUACGCUUUGUAGGGAGUGUCAUAUAUUAUGGCAGAUUUUGAGCCACAGACUCUUCAAGAAGUCUUGAGGAUGGAUUUAUUGUAUCAAUCUUCCUAAUAGGUAAAGUUAGACCCUUUAGCACAUUAUCUUGGGCAUCAUGUGAGUGAUCUUUCUCUUUCUUUACCUUUGACACGUAGCGAAGAACAAGAGUUGCCUUCUUUUUUGUAGGAGCAAUGCUUUCUUUAUUUGAAGUGAAGAGGGGCUUCCUGGUGGCGACUUUUUCAACAGUCACCGAGACCUUCUUAGAUGCAAGAUCAUCACACUUGGCCUUAGUGACAUCUUCAACCCUUUUCUCAUUUACAAUAUAAUUUUUUAAGUAGAAUUUUGCAUCAGCAAAGUGUGAUUCAGCUUUAAUGAAUGGCUUAUUAUCAGCUACUAUCUUUCUUUCCACUCCACCUUCAAGGUACUUCAAGCAUUGAUAGUAAGAGGAUGAGAUAAUUUUGUUCUCGUGUACCCAAGGCCUACCAAGAAAUAUGUUGUAUGCAGUUUUGGUAUCAUUACAUGCAUCAAUGCAUUUGAUUGAAAAUCAUCCAUAUGAAUCCGUAAAUUGAUAAAUCCCAUGGCCCUUUGGCCUUCUUGGUUGAAGACUUGGAUCAUUAUACGGCUUUUAUGCAGUUCGCUAGUAGCGAUGCCAAGUUUUUUCAUCGUGUGGAUAGGCAGGAUGUUGACUCUAGAUCCCUCAUAUAUCAAGAUUAUAUUAAUCUUCUUUUCUAGAAUUUGAUCCACCAUGUAUAAGGGGUGGUUAUGUAGGGCCUCAUCAAGAAGAAAAUCGUCAUUUGUGAAUGUGAUUUUUGUAUCACACAUAUGUGUCUCUUCGCCAAAAAUUUCAGCAAGCUUUUUGAAAGAUGAAGGGACUUCCAUGGGUAGAUUCUUAUACUUUACCCCCUCUUGGACAGUAUUUAAACAAGAUGCCUCAAGGUUGACUUGGGCAGUGUUUACACGAAACCAACUCGGUAAGAAUUCCUCUAAAGUCACCGGACGUCGAGGUUUUUGGUGGUGAAGCUCCGUCACCCUCGUCUUCUUUGGGAAUCCAACCAACUUCUGUUUCCUUGGUUUCUUUACCAUUCUCCUUCUGGUUGGCUGCUUGGAUGACUCCUUUCGCAGACUCAUCCUCCUGAGUCUGUGCCUCGUCACCAGAGUCUAACCUUCAUCAUUGCCUUCGUCAACAGAAGACCUGUCAGGCUCUAAUAUUUUCUCAUUAUGAUCUUCGACACAUAUUUAGACUUGGUCGAGCGAGCCAAAAGUAAUAGAGAUUUGAUGAGAACUGACCGUCUCAUCGUCGAAGAAGAUCUUCUUCUCUUUUGCCAGUUGCAUGACUUUAUCUUUAAAGGCAAAGCACUUUUCCAGAGAAUGACUUAUGAGCCUAUGAUAUUUACAAUAAUUAGGAUCAUUGGUUUUUCCAGCUUCGUUGGGACGCUUUAUCUCUGGGAGUUCAAUAAGCUUAUGCUCAAGGAGUUCAUCGAAAAUCUCAGUAACAUCAGAAUCAAGGAAGGGAUAUUCUUUUUCUUGCAUCUCCUUUAAAGUUUUCUAAUUUGGAUGUGCUCCAGAAGUUGUCUUCACACUUUGCUUCUUGCUUACCUUUGUGGUGACUUUCACAGGAGACACAUCAACAUUCAUAGACUCCUUGUUUUUAUUUUUAGGGAAGAACUUGCCCCAUCUUUUAGGUUCCUGCUUAUUCUUUCCCCUUCGAGGGUCAUGGAUAGGCGUUGAUCCCUUUUCAGCAGAAGACAUGCUCAACUCCAUAUCAUGAGCACGGGUAGCUAGCUCUUCAAAGGAUUUAGGAAUAAUGCCUUGCAAGAUAUAAAGAAGCUCUCAGUGCAUUCCUGGGACGCACAUUUCUAUUGCAGAAGCUUCGCUGAGCCUAUCUUACAGUUUAGGCUAGCAUUUCUCCAUCGAUUGAUGAAGUCAAUAACUAGUUCAUCCUUUCUUUGCUGAGUAUUCAUGAGCUCUACCAUGCUUACUGUAUGCCUUAUGCUAUAAAAGCGAUUUAGGAACUCGUGCUCCAAUUGUUCCCAGCUAUCAAUAGAAUUAGGCUCAAGGUCCGUAUACUAAUCAAAGGCAUUUUCUUUUAGGGAACGAACAAACUGUUUGACAAGAUAGUCACUGUAAGUUCCAUCAUUAUUACAUGUCUCAACAAAGUGUGCGACAUAUUGUUUUGGGUUCCCUUUGCCCUUAAAUUGUUGAAAUUUGGGGGGUUGAUAACCGGCAGACAUUUUGAGGCUAUCAAUCCUUGCCGUGUAAGGCUUGGUAUAAGCAAGAGAAGACUUAGCGACAACAUCAUACUUGUCUUUGAGGGUCCCUUCAAUGAAUUCCCUCAAUUGUCCAAUCGGAAUGAUUCCCUCAGAAGAAACUUGCACCUCUUUAAUCGGUGGUGUUUGUUUCAUAGGAUUUUCUAUCUCAUGCACUUCUGGAGAUUUUCCAGGUGCGUGGCUAGAUUAUUCGUCUAUCAGACCUUCCACCCUUCCAUUAUCUUAUCAAUUCGAGCAUCUUGAUUCUGAACAUAUUUGGUUAGGCCAUCAAUUACCUUUGCCAGAUUCGCAAGUUGCUCAUCCAUGGAUGAGAUAUCAGUUACCAUCGUUUGCAUAAUCACUGGAGAUAUUAGAGAGUAGCACAGAUUUGCAUAAGUUGAUCUUUGAAGUUCUCAAUUUAUGCGGUGUAUUCGGAGAUGAUGAGUUUCUUGAACAACCACCGUGUCAGAGUAUUUGGAACCGGAAUGCUCAAGUAGAGGUAGAGUCUUCUUAAACGAUUUAGCGACACUUCUUUCUCCUUCCAAAGCAUUUGUAUUAGACUUCGUUCCCUUUGAGGUUGAAGAUCCAACAACUGGAGUUGGUGCAGAUGACACUGGAUGUGUUUGUUAUCCUAGCAAGCCUGCCUUACUCCUUGUAACAGCUCCUAAGCUUUCGAAAGUGACACCAAGGAUACUUUCUACUUCAGCAGAGAACUUUGAGUUAGUAGCCUCAGAAGCAGUUAAUUGAGAGUUGACCUUCUUGGAAGCCAUUUCAGUGUUGUUGAACUUUGUAGUUGGAAAAGUUUAUAUGAGAGGUAGAGAUUGUCCCACUGGGCGUGCCAGAAUAUGUUGGAGAGUAAAAUUUUUGAGGCUGAAAAAUAAAUGAUUCAAGACGAAAAAUAUAUUGCAACAAUCAAUUUAUUGAUUUCAAUGCGAGUAUUACAAUCUCUAUGAAUCCUAUAAUUUGCCUUUUCAAAUAUAAAUUCAAGGGCUUAAAGCUUAAUCUUGAAUUUGAACUUGGUUUGCGAACUUGAGGGACUUGAUCUUGACUUGUGCUUGAAUUCAAGGGCUUUUUGAGCUUGUUCUUUAAUAUUGUGGUCUUUAUCUUGAAUCUUGAUGAACUUGAUUUGAAUGCUUGAACUUUUUAGAGAAAUUACUGCGUUUGAUCCACGAGCUUUUUCUUGCUACUUAUUAGAGUUCUUGGGGUCCCUUUUCUGAAUUAUAAGGUCCCUAUUUAUAGUUGUAGGAAAGGAAGAGUCAAUGAUAAAUAUGGACUUUCUUUGACCAAUCAGAUUUAAGUGAUGUGGCGCCUUUUAUGGGCUUUUAUUUCAUGGACCUGCUGCAUCAAUUUGACAUGUGACACGGUCCUAUUGGCUCCUUCACUUGACUUGGCAUGCCACGUCAUUUGACACGUGGUGCUUAUUUGGACCUCUAGAAUAUGACAAUAUCUUGGGCUUAGUAAAGUGGUCAUCAUUUGUAGCCCAAAUUAAUGGACUAACCCAAUAAAUAUUGGGUCUUAUUUAAAUCCAUACCUAUUUGGACAUAAAUAAUUAAUUCAAUUAUAUUAAUCCACAAUAUUUAUUUGGGACUAAUAUAUUUUAAAUUUAAUAUAAUCCGAAUUUUGUACGGAUUUAAAUUUAAUAAAAUUGCAUCGCCCGCAACAUGCAUAUUAUUUUUUCUUAUAUUUAUUAGUUUUGUCCUCAUGUAUUAUUUUAAUAAUAUUUUUCUUUAGACCUUUGUAAUUGAAUUAUACAUGAUACUAUUUUUGUAUAAUUAUAUUUUUGUUCCUUAUUAAAUGACUACCAAGGGUAUUUCAAUAAUUUUAUGAUGCAAUAAAAUGGUUACACAUGCAUAUUGCUUUUUCUUUAUAUUUAUUAGUUUUGUCCUCAUUUUUAUUGUGCAAUAAAAUGGUUACACAUGUAUAUUAUUUUUAUCUUAUAUUUAUUAAUUUUGUCCUCAUGUAUUAUUUUAAUAAUAUUUUAAUUUAGACUUUUGAAAUUGAAUUAUACAUGGUAGCAAUUUUUUAUAAAUACUUUUUUGUUCUUUAUUAAAUUACUUAGUUUAUACCCCAAGAGUAUUUCGGUAAUUUUAUGGUGCAAUAAAAUAGUUACACAUGCAUAUUGCUUUUUCCUUAUAUUUAUUAGUUUUUUCCUCAUUUUUAUGGUGCAAUAAAAUGGUUACACAUGCGUAUUAUUUUUUCUUAUAUUUAUUAGAGAUAAUACCUAAUUACCUCCCUGAACUAUACCCAAAAAGGUUAUAACACACCUCAACUUAAAGGGGGUCCUAUUACCCACUUGAACUAAUUAAAAGUGUAAUUUUGAUACCCUAAGUGCCUACGUGGCACAACACACUGAAGUGUUCACGUAGGCACACGCGUGUGCCACGUAGGCACUGAGAGUGUCAAAAUUACACUUUUAAUUAGUUCGGGGGAGGGGGGGAGGGGGGUAAUAGGACCCUCUUUAAGUUGAGGUGUGUCAUAGCCUUUUUGAGUAUAGUUCAUGGAGGUAAUUGAGUAUUUUCUCUUAGUUUUGUCCUUAUGUAUUAUUUUAAUAAUAUUUUUAUUUAGAUCUUUGUAAUUGAAUUAUACAUGGUAAUAAUCUUUUUUAAAUAUCUUUUUGUUCCUUAUUAAAUGACUACUAAGGGUAUUUCGAUAAUUUUAUGAUGCAAUAAGUAUUUUGAAAUUGACGUAUGUCUCCUCAACUUAUAUAUUUGAAACUUUCAAAUGAGACGAGCAACAUGAACUUUUCCACGAAUGUCCAAACGAAAGACGUACCGCCAAUUGUAGUUGCAACAAUCUAACUAGAUUUUUAUCCACUUAUAUAAUCACUUUUGUAUUGGUUGGACCAGUCUAGCAAGCUCAAUUUUGUUCCACACUGAAUGUAUAUAUUAUGUUAAUAUCGAUUCAUUGUAUUAUAUUUUUUUUCUUUUACUCCUAUACUAAACAAUUAAAACAAGUAAGAAAUAAUUUUUUCCAAAAUUGAAUCUCUUUUGUACAUUAGUAUUGCCAAAAUGCCCGUUUCUUGAACGGGCACAGGUAUCUAAGUCUCUAAAAUAAAGAGUGGUUCAAAUAGACUCUCAAUGUUUUGCUAGGUUAGACUUUGAUCCACGUGUGAAAAACACACUUUUGAACCACUUAAAUUUGGAUGCAUUAACAAAUUAUCUCCGCUUAUUCCGGGAAAUUAAGCUUGCAUGUAAACUGACACUAAAAAAAGCAAAUACUUUCUAGUAAAAACUAGUAAUUGAACUUCAAAAUUACAAAUUCAACUAAGAAUACGUGUAAUUAGUACUUUUAUUUCCCAAUAUAACUGUUUCUAACAUAAUUUAAUUCAUGAAAAAUAAACUUAAACCACAAAUAAAAAUAUGAAGAAACAACAAUUUUAUAAAAAUAUGAAAAAACAACAAUUUUAUUGAUAAACGAGGUGGUUACAAAUCUAUCUUCCUUGAUUCUUCUCUCGAUUUUCUCCGUAAUUCGAGGGCCGUUAGUAGCGUAUUUCUCGAACAUAUAGGAUGAUCUCUUUAUGAAUAUCCCAUGAUUUUAUGGGAUAUUAGAGAUCUCGAUCUUUUUACGAAUACCCAUCAAUUUAUGGGAUAUUCAAGAUAAUUAGUACUUUCUAAAAUCUCAUUUUAUGUGAUGCUAUAUCUAUUUUUCUCUGUUUUAUAAAAAAGUAUGACCUUAGUUUUAUUUUGAAAUAAUUUUAUUUUAUUUUCAUGAUCUUAUUGCCACACAAAUUUAAUGACAUAUUGAGAUUUUAAGUUUUAAAAGGUUUAUUACAACACAACAACGUGAUUUAAGACUACAAGUUCAAAAAAUUAUUAAUCUCGCCAUCUCGGUAUUCAAUAAGACAUGUCCAUAUAAAAUUGAAAUUAAAGGGAGUAAUAAAUAGAUGACAAAAAUUUAAAUAAAGAGUUAAGUAACUUUAUGAUCUACGCGUUUUUUGUGCCUCCUUUCUAGCGUUACUAGAUAACAAAGGGCCCGUUUAUGGGCCCAAUAUUAAAAUUUUAAAUAUACUAGUGAAAUGGGUCACGCCUUGCACGGUGAUAAACUAUUUUAUUGAAUAAAAAUAUAAUUUUUAUGAUUAUUCAAGUACAAUGAAUGCAUUAAGAUUUCUUUUAGAUUCAAAUUCAAAAAAUUAAAAUUAAUACUUUAAAUUCAUAAUAUUAUUUAUAAUUAGUUGUGUAGUUUAUUCAAAGUUUUCACUCUUUAAAAAUUUAUGAUCGUUUAGGGAUACUUGAUUUUAUCUAUCUCUAUGUAGAUGAUAUAAAUUUAUAUUUUUUACUAAAAAUUUUAUUUAAAAUAUAUAAAUAAUAUAUCAAAACACAAUAAAUAUAAAAAUUAUAAUUAAAAGUUCAUAAAUUAAAAAUAUUAUUUCAAUUUUAUAUCUGUGUAUAUAUAAUGCUUAAAUGCUAAAGUAAUAAAAUUUUAAAACUAAUUUUAAAAUACACUAAAAAAUAAAUUAUCAGGAUCCUUAGUUAUUAUUAGGACUCACAUUCUCUGAAUUUCAAAAAAUAUAUUAAAUUUAUAUUUGGAAACUCAAACUUNNNNNNNNNNNNNNNNNNNNNNNNNNNNNNNNNNNNNNNNNNNNNNNNNNNNNNNNNNNNNNNNNNNNNNNNNNNNNNNNNNNNNNNNNNNNNNNNNNNNNNNNNNNNNNNNNNNNNNNNNNNNNNNNNNNNNNNNNNNNNNNNNNNNNNNNNNNNNNNNNNNNNNNNNNNNNNNNNNNNNNNNNNNNNNNNNNNNNNNNNNNNNNNUUCCUCUAGUCAUUUACAUUUCUCAGCAGUUAUACUAAAAUCAUGAGAAUUGCAUUAUUUUGCAUAGAUAAGAAACUGCUAUAAUUGACAUGUGAGAAGGUGGUAGUAUUAAUUUCUAAUUAAUUUGAAAACUGAAAAAUAAUUAAAACUUUAAAACUUCAUCAAUUAACUAAUAAUAAAAUUUAAGAGGUACAAAAAUAUAUUCUUGCACUAAUGCUUUAUCAUAAAGAAUUUGAAGGGGUACGCCACAUGAUCACAAUAUACAUCAACUUAAUUGUAGCUAAAUUUUUUAAUGUUGAGUUGUAACUACCAAUAAUUAUAAUGAGCAAUAUGAAAAGGAUAGUAAAUUUCUAAUUGUGAUAAUUAAGGAAUCAAUUUUUACAUUAAUUACUUAGAAAAUAGAAAAAGCCAAAAAACAGAGGGAAAAAUAAGUUAGGUAUUGUAUUAAAAUGUAAAAAUAAAUAAUAAUUAUAUGAACUAAAAGACAUUCAUCUCAAGUGGUUCUUAUAUUCUUCUCCUAAAAUCUUUACAUAGUCAUCAUUUCAUCUUUACUUCAUUUGUUCACUAUUUGAUCUUCUUCUUAUCCCUGUAAAAAAAAUACAUCACAAAAUUAAGAUAUUAUAAAAAAAUUAUAAGAAAAUAGAUUUAAAUUAUACAUGUUCUUGCUUAAAAGUUACAAACAAUAUAAGAUAACAACAACAACAAAUUUAAUGUAAUCUCAUGUAUGAGUUUAGCAAAUCAAUUAAAUGUCAAAGGAACAAUGCAUGUAGAAGAAAAAGUAAUAGCAUACCUAAAGGAAAACAAUAAGGAGGAUAUUUUAGAAGGUAUACAAAUGAUUUAUCUUUUAAAAGAAUAUAUGAAAGUUCUAAAAAUAUAUAGUGAAUGAAAUAUCCUUAAUUUUGAUGGUGGAGGAAAGAAGACUUAUAAUACUUCUAUUUAUAAGACAACAAUAUGGAAUAUCUUUAUUUUGAUGAUGGAGGAAAGAAGACUCAUAAUACUUUUAUUUAUAAGACAACAAUAUGGAAUAUCAAAGAUAUCAUGAACAUGACUAUUAAUAUAAUUUAGGAGUUAUGAUCAUCAAAGGUCAUGAGAGUAAUGAUAAAGAAAUAUUAAAUUUCUAUAUUAAAGAAUAAAAAUAAAUGAAGGAGUAGCAAUUGAUUCAUUCAUUUUGAUUAUUAAGAAAAUUGAUUGAUUAAUGAAAAAAAAAAAAGGUUUAAAAAAACCCAAAAUAUAUAUAUAUAUAUAUUGAUUUAUAGUUAUUUAAUAAUUUUUUUUCCAAAAAAAUGAUUAACAACAUUUUUGAAUAAAUACAAUAGGAAAUGUAAGUGGGAAUCACACUAUAUAAUAAAAUACGACUUGUUAUUUUUAUAAAAUCAAACAGUAGCUUACAAAUUAUUUAAGUUUUCAUAAUUAACAACAAAAUAUCAUAUACUCUAAUGUUUAUUUUAACAUCAGGUCAAACACAUUCUCUUAUAUUAAAUAACUAUUUUUAAGUUUUUUCUACUUUAUUUAAAAAUUAUACAAGAUAAUAGAUUAAAAUUUUAAUUAACUUUUUUUCAUAGAAUCAUACUAAUACAUACAUAAAUUGAUUUUUAAAUACAUUUAAAUUCUUUUUAUGGGUGUUUAACAAAUUAAAAAAAGAAUCUAUUGGAUGAACGUUUUUUAUGAAUCAUAACGUUAAAGGAUUGUCUCUAUGUCUUGUCUUAUAUAUGUCAAAAAUAGGAGAUCAAUUUAAUAUAAUAAGCAAGAAGUUUCUUGGGGGUUUGGCCAACAGGUAACAAAAGAGAUUUAAAAUGAGGUGUAGGUGACAUAACUCUUAAUAAUUGAGUAGAGGUGACAAUUACUUAGCUAUGAUUUAAGAAAGUUUGAGAAAUUUCAAAAUAACCCACAAGUUUUUAAAUUUGCACUUUGAUCCAAAUGUUAGUUAAUAUGUAACGGAAAAUGAAGGGAAAAAAGACGUCUUUUUCUCUCUCCUCAUCCGUUGUUAUUUUCUCUCUCUUCGCGAUAUUUGUUGUUCAUUGUUGUUGCUGCUUUAUUCAUCAUCUUCUGAUUCAUUAUCAUCAUCAUCAUAUACUUCAUUAUCAUCUUCAUAUUCUUCUUGUUGACCAUUGUUAUUGUUGUUGUUGUUGUUACCCCAACUGCUGCUCUUUGACCAAAUUCUUAUGUCAAAUUUUAUUUCGUAAAUCACUUUCAACUUUGGAUUUUACUUGAGAGGAGAUUUUGGUAAGUCAGAUUACGCUUUUUAGUUGAAUUUGGGUAACUGUUAGUGUGUUAUUUUUUCAACAAUAGCUAGCACGCGAACAUGAAUACAAUACAAGAGCAAUCUGUUUAAACAGAUCCAUUAUCUACGGCACCAGAUAAAUAUUCUGUUGUAACAGUAGACUCAUGUUGGAUUCAUGUUUAUGGGUUCUAGGUGCCCGUAAUAUGAAUAGAAUAGAUGGGUAUUUUGUUACACCAGGUUAGUAAUUUAUUUUGACAGAUAAAUAAUCUGUUUCAUCAGAUUACUAAUAUGUUUCGAACAACAAAAUAAAGCUCUUGUCACACACAAACACAAACCUAACAGAUAACUUAUAUGUUCUUGCUAUUGAUACUGGAAUCAAAUUAUUCCUUAAUUGUAGACAUGUCAUUCGUUAAGAAAUAGAAAUAGACAACACAAAAAUUAAAUAAGAAAUAAAAAGUCAAGUGCAUCAAACAUAAUUUUUUAUAAAACAAAAAAAAAUACAUAGAUAAAAGAAAAAAAAAGCUUAAUUAUUAUUAUCAUCAUUAUUAUUUGUAUGGUCGGUCGGCCAAUCUUCAACAGGCAGCAGCAGCGCCCUCCUCAGCCUGCGGAUCUCCCGCAGCAUCCUUACUCUGACGGCGGCCAACUCCCAAUGCAGGUCACGAACCUCCUUCUGCAGUUCCUGCAUGGCGUCUCAUAAAAUAGCGACAUCCCACACAGGAACAACCAUAUCUAGAAAACGCAUAAGUUGACAAAACACAUGUAAAAAUAAAAGUAAAGAAAAGAAAGAAUUCGAAUGUAAUGUAAUAUACAACGAAUAUUUACACAAAAAUGAAGAAAAAAACUUACCAGAGACAGGAAAAAUCUAUCUAGUUCUUGAAGAGAAAGUAGGUGAAGGUGUAACAAGAGUAAGGAAUAAAUAGUGUGUAGUAGAACGAACGACUGAGUAAGGAGAGACCUAUUUAUAGAGGAUUGAACUUGAAUGAGUUUGGCAAAAAAUCAGAACUGUUCACCUCCAUUUAUUAAUGACAUUCUUGAUUAUUGUAAAAAGUUAUGACUUAAUUAAAUUGAUCAAUAUUAUGAUAAGUCAUGACUUUUUAGUUUUAUUAUUAUUAAUAAUUAGUUCUUUCCAGGAACCAUUUUUUUUAUAGGCAAAAAAUCGCAACUAUUCACCUCCAUUUAUUAAUGACAUUCUUGAUUACUGUAAAAAGUUAUGACUUAAUUAAAUUAAUCAAUAUUAUGAUAGGUCAUGACUUUUCAGCUUUAUUAUUUUUAAUAAUUAGUUCUUUUCAGGAAUCAUUUUUUUUACACCGAGUUGGACAACAGAUAAUAUAUAUCUGUUGCCAGAAAAAUCAUCUGUUACAACAGAUAUAUCAUCAUUUGCAAUAAAUAGAUAACCUGUUGCAUCAGAUAAUAUAUCUGUUGCAACAUAUAAUAUAUAUAUAUUUUUUAAAAUAAAUAAAUUAUCUUCAUGACAUCCAAAUUUGCUGACUUUUUAAUUAUAUAAAUUAAUAAAGUAGAUUUAAAGGCACAACUGUUCACCUCCAUUUAUUAAUAACAUUCUUGAUUAUUGUUAGAAAUUAUGACUUAAUUAAAUUAAACAAUAUUGUGAUAAGUCAUGACUUUUCAGCUUUAUUAUUAUUAAAAUAAUUAGUUCUUUCCAGGAACCAUUUUUUUGUUACACUGAGUUGGACAACAGAUCAUAUAUAUGUUGCAUCAGAUAUAUCAUCUGUUACAACAGAUAUAUCAUCUGUUGCAACAAAUAGAUAACCUGUUGCAUAAGAUAAUAUAUCUGUUGCAACAUAUAAUAUAUAUAUAUUUUUUAAAAAUAAAUUAUGUUCAUGACAUCCAAAUUUUCUGACUUUUUAAUUAUAUAAAUUGAUAAAGCAGAUUUAAAGAUACAACUGUUCACCUCCAUUUAUUAAUGACAUUCUUGAUUACUGUAAGAAGUUAUGACUUAAUAAAUUAAGUAAUAUUAUGAUAAGUCAUGACUUUUCAGAUUUAUAAUUAUUAAAAUAAUUAGUUCUUUCCAGGAACCGUUUUUUAUUUACACUGAGUUGGAUAAAUUAGUUGCAACAGAUAUAUAAUAAAAUAAUUAUAUUAUAUAUCUGUUGCAUCAGAAAAAUCAUCUGUUACAAUAGAUAUAUCACCCAUUGCAACAAAUAGAUAACCUGUUGCAUAAGAUAAUAUAUCUGUUGCAACAUAUUAUAUUAUAUAUAUAUAUAUAUAGAUAUAGAUAUUAAAAAUAAAUUAUCUUCAUGACAUCCAAAUUUUCUGACUUUUUAAUUAUAUAAAUUAAUAAAGCAUAUAUUUUUUAAAAAUAAAUUAUGUUCAUGACAUCCAAAUUUUCUGACUUUUUAAUUAUAUAAAUUGAUAAAGCAGAUUUAAAGAUACAACUGUUCACCUCCAUUUAUUAAUGACAUUCUUGAUUACUGUAAGAAGUUAUGACUUAAUAAAUUAAGUAAUAUUAUGAUAAGUCAUGACUUUUCAGAUUUAUAAUUAUUAAAAUAAUUAGUUCUUUCUAGCAACUAUUUUUUUUACACUGAGUUGAACAAUAUCUGUUGACUCAGAUAAAUCAUCUGUUACAACAGAUAUAUCAUCCGUUUCAACAAAUAGUUAACCUGUUGCAUCAGAUAAUAUAUCUGUUACAACAUAUAAUAUAUAUAUANNNNNNNNNNNNNNNNNNNNNNNNNNNNNNNNNNNNNNNNNNNNNNNNNNNNNNNNNNNNNNNNNNNNNNNNNNNNNNNNNNNNNNNNNNNNNNNNNNNNNNNNNNNNNNNNNNNNNNNNNNNNNNNNNNNNNNNNNNNNNNNNNNNNNNNNNNNNNNAUAUAUCUGUUGCAUCAGAUAAAUCAUCUAUUACAAUAGAUAUAUCAUGAUUUGCAAUAAAUAGAUAACCUAUUGCAUCAGAUAAUAUAUCUGUUGCAACAUAUAAUAUAUAUAUAUUUUAAAAAAAUAAAUUAUCUUUAUGACAUCCAAAUUUUCUGACUUUUUAAUUAUAUAAAUUAAUAAAGACGAUUUAAAAACAGGAAUAUUUCUGGUGAGUUUUUUACGGUUUCAAUUGUGUUUAUCAUUUAUUUCCUUAUUCUUUUCUGUGAAAAGAAAUGAUUUAAUUAAAUCAAGCUGGUGAUGAGUUUUUUAUUAUUGUGACAAGUCAUGACUUUUCAGCUUAUUAAAUUUAAAUAACUUUUUUCUCAAUUUAAAAAUCGAAUACACCUGGUUUUCAAUAACCGUUCCGUUUCUUUCUUUACUUUAAUAACCAUUUUUAUUAAUUGAGUUAUGGCAAUAGAUUGUUUAUCUGUUGCAUCAGAUAUCUGUUUCAAUAGAUAUACCAUCUGUUGCUAUAAAUCGACCAUCUAUUUAAGGAGCUUUUUGAUUUCUUCUAACUGAUUCACCAGUCGCAACAGAUGAGGAAUUUGAUGCAUCAAAAACAUUUUUUAUUUUUGUUUGUUGAAUGUGUUUAGACAAAAAUCACAGUCACGACUAUUUAUUAACUUUUUUCUUAAAAAUCAUAUCAUCAUAUAUCUUAAUUAAAUUAAUCCAAUAUUUUGACUUUUUUUAAAUUAAAUAAUCUUUCUUUUACGAUUAUAAUAUCAUUUAGUUCCUUAUUAUUUAUUAACGAACCAUUUUUAGGAGAGUUUUUCAUCAUCACUUUCACCACCAUCUGUUGCCACAAGUGCUCAAUCCCUACCUCCAACCAUCGACAUGUUGAGAAUAGAGAAUAAAUAGAAUGAUAAUUAAAUAUUGAAUAAGAAUUAAAAAUUCAUAGUCGACUAAACCAAAUCAAAACAAACCAAACCAAACAUAUACAUGGAUUUUUUUGAAUCCCUUAUAGGUAGAUCAGAUAUAAAAAAGGAAAAUACAUAUGCUAAAAGAAAAAAAAUAACCUUAUUAUUAUUAUUAUUAUUACUAUUAUUAUUAUCAACCUAACAAUUUUCAUCCGGCAGCAGCUGGGCCCUCCUCAACCUUGCUCUGAAGUCGGCCAAAUCCUUCUGGAGUUCAUCAAACUGCCUUUGAAGUUUCUACAAGGACUCGAUAUGAACCUUAUUGUACGAAUAUGGAUUAGCCAUAUUAGUAUUGUAAGUAUAGUAGAAUGAACGAGUGAGUGAGGAGUGAGAGUGAGAGGAGGCUCGAGGGACCUAUUUAUAAAAUGAUUGAAUUGGAAGGGACUGGACUUGGUCAAACAAAAAGCCACGACUGUUCAUAUCCCUUAAUUAAAUAAAACUGGUGACUUUUUAAAUAUGUAAAUUAAAUAAAAGGAUCUAAAUACAACAUUUUAUCUUUGUAUUGUAUUUUGGAAAGAGACAGAUUGGUAAUCUGUUGCAAAAUAUAUUCCACCAGUCAGAUAACGUACAAUACAACAUAUGGACAAUCUGUUGCAACAGAUGGAUAUAUCAAUUUGCUUUUCCAUCAGCUGUGGCGUCUGUUGCACUUGCUAGUCAUCUAUUUAUUCAAUUUCAUCGAGUGCAAUCGAUUUUUGUAAACACUUCUUGGCCAAACUCAAUUUUUGCUCUUGGAUUGCUUCUUUUUUUUUUCUUUGCAACCUUCAACCUAAUUAAAUUUUUGCUAUUGGAUUGAUGGAAAAAAUUGAAUUUGGAGGCCAUCUUCAAGGAUGCAAAGAAAAAAAGAGAAGCAAUCCAAGAGCAAAAAUUGAGUUUGUCCCAGAAGUGUUUAGAAAAAUCUAUUGCUCUUGAUGAAAUUGAAUAAACAGAUGACUAGCAAGUUGCAACAGAUGCCACAGCUAAUGAAAAAGUAAACUGAUAUAUUCAUCUGUUACAACAGAUUGUCCAUAUGUUGUAUUGUAAGUUAUCUGAUAGGUGGAAUAUAUUUUGCAACAGAUUACCAAUCUGUCUCUUUUCGAAAUACAAUAAAAAGAUAAAAUGUUGUAUUUAGAUCCAUUUUUUUUAAUUUACAUAUUCAAAAAGUCACCAGUUUUAUUUAAUUAGGGGAUAUGAACAGUCAUGGCUUUUUGUUUGACUAAGUCAAGUCACCACCAUUUCCAAUUCAAUCAUUUUGUCAUUGUGGUCGUUAAGCUCAAUAUAGAGCUCUUGAUAUUUUGUGAGUUUGUCAACGAGGACCACUCACUUUCUUUCUUGGCAACUUUUUUAUAAUACUCCUCUUGGUCCUUCUUAGCUCUCCCCAAAGUCAAGAAGAAGUAUGGAAGGUUCUCUUUGAGUUUUUCCAAGGCAAGCGCUCUCUCGGUUGAUAAAUCCCGUGCUGCAGCAUAUAUGGAUAGUGCAACACUCAAUGCAGAACAAUUUUUUGCUAGAAGCAAGUCUUGAGAAAACAUAAUCAGUAAUCUAUCGAUAUCAGCUUUCGUUGUGUCAAACAGUUUGUUGAUAUUUUGUCUUCUACGGAGAAGAUUGAUCAGUAGAAAAACCAAGUGAUUGAGAUUAUUUAACUUGUUGACUAACUGGAGCAAAGACAUCUUCUGGAUUAUCAAACUUCACAGGGUAGUCUGGUGGUUCAAUAACAUCAGAUGUCUUAUUUCUGAUAUUAGCUAAUGAUGGGCAGAUUCUGUCUUUCUCACCCUUCUGAAAAGAAAAAACACUCAAAAUUAGAUGGAGUAUCUCUACAUAACGAAACAAGAUGAACUAAAUCUAGAAUUCAGUUUUUCCUUCCUAUUCCCUACCCUCUUUUAUCUUCUCACCUUUAUCAGAUCUCAAAUUUUUCUUUCUUUGAAUACUUGAUAUGCCUUGAAAAUUGCUUUCUUUCUCAUCUUAGGCUUAAUCUCUAAUGGAGUGAAUGAAAUUGAAAUCCUCUUUGAUCGAAUGACACUAUUGUUAGAUAUCAAUUUCUUUACAUCAGCAGUUAAUGGAUUAACAGUAUUAAUCACACUAUUAUGUUUUGCCUUGCACUCUUCCUAUUUGCAUGCACAAGAUAAGCAAGAAGGGGUAAGAUUGAUCAUUCUUCUACCAUAUAGAGGACAACAUAUCCGUCAUGCCAAAGUUUACACCGUCGCCAAAAAUGCUUACCACAACAAAAGUCUGUAGAAGGCAUGGCAAAUAAACAUGAGCAACAUUCGACAUUAAAUCUUAACAAGGUAUCAGAACCAUAUUCAUAGUCCCUCAUCCUUAUCAGUUCGAACCUACCAAACUUAACUGUAAAAUUAUAAAUAUCUUGUUUGAAUGAUCUAUGACUAAUUGGUAAGAACAACAUCCACAAAAUCAGUGUACUCUAUAUGUGUUUCCACGAUAACAUUAUCAGUAAUACAUACCUCCCACAUAUGAAGUGGUUUCAUCUGCAUGCAGCUCAUUUCUCUGAACCUAUUUUUACUGCAGCCUCUUGUGAUGGUCAGAUAAAAGUUGAUCAACUUUAAGUUCCUUUUAUAUCUACAAAGAAGAAGGAAAAAAUUUAUGUCAUAGAAAAAAAAUUAUCCUUCUGUUGUAACAGAUGUAGAGUGCGUUCAUCAGAUGAGGAGUCUGUUGCGUCAGAUGUGGAGUCUGUUGUGUCAGAUGUGGAGUCUGAUGCAACAGAUAUGGAGUCUGUUAGAAUACAUAGCAGCCUUGCUGGUGGUUUGAUUUCUUCCAAUAGUUGCUCCGUCUGUUGCAACAUCAAAAACAACACAAAAUACAAACAAUAAAUAAAAAACAUCAACAAUAAAGAAAACAACAACAUUUGUUCCAACAACGUCAUCAACAACAAAGAAGCAUAAAUCCUAUGUUCCAACAUCAUCAACAACCAAGGACAGACCCACAUGGAGUCCUCCGGGUGCGCGAGCACAGACUAAACUUGUAUCGAACUUUAUAUAUGUAUAUGAAAAUUAAGAAAAAAUGUAUAUAAUCUAAUCAGUGAGUACCCAUAGGAAGAGUUGUUUGGUUAGCCUAGUUGUUGUUUAUGGGUGCUUAAGGCUAUUUAUUUCUUUUGGUCUUGAGUUUAAUUCCCACUCAGCACAUAUUUUUUUAAUUUUGGUAACCAACUCUUCUCUCCUUAUUCACUUUAAUUUUUUUCUUUCCUUUACUCCUUGUGUUGAUUGUUCGAACUCCACUAUUUUUAAGCUAAGAAGCACCCACCGUCUAAAAAACCUAUAUUCGCCACUGUCAACAACACCACACCACAAGUUCCAACAAUGCCAACCCCACCAACAACAUCAACAACAUCAUCAACAACACAGAAACAAACAAAAUACAUAAAAAAAUGAUACUGCCAAUAAGGCUUUUAAACUUCUCCCAACAGAUGACUUUUUUUCGCAUCUUGUAAUAAAAAUUCUUGGUUCGUUUAUUAAACAAUUAAAAGUUUAUUCAAAUUUUUUAAAUAAAUAUCAUAUGGGAAAAUGGUAAUUAAAUAAAAAAAAUGUACAUAACUUGCAAGAAGAAGACGAGAAUGAAAGAGCAAUAGUGAAUCAUAUCAUACCUUAAUGUCAAAAGGGGGUCAAAACAACAAUUUCAGUAAAGGAAUCUAAGAUAUAGAUAUAGAUUGGUUUAGAUCCAAACAAAAAUUUAUGAGAAAGGGGAGAGAAAAAAAGGUUGUGAUAACCCUAAAGAGGAUAGAAAGAGAAAAGAUGAGCGACGAAUAAAAUAAAUUUAGGGAUGAAGAAGAGGAGAGAAGAGAUGAGAUAAUUCUAAAUUCUAGAUGUACUACCCUUAAUAUUAAAUGACUAAACGAAGUAUGUUUAUUCAAAUUUAUAUUUUCAAAGCAUAAUUAAUAAGGCUAAUUUGGUAUUAAAAUAAACCCCUAAUUAAUAUUUUCUUGAUGGGAGUGCCAAGUCAAUAUGAAAAGGAAGAAGUAUUAGGGGUUUCAAUAUUCAUUAAUUAAUAUUCACUAAUAAUUUGAGGGGCACGAGGAAGAAAUCGGGUGACACUGAAAAGACACGACAAGACUACUCUAUGAGAUUUUUGAGUUAUCCAAGAAACAUUUUUUACCGCCUUUUGUAGUACUACUACUUUAUUUACUCGGACAGAAGUUUGCUUUAAAAUUAAAAGAAAAAAAAAUAUUUUCAAAUAAAUAUGUUGUCUGUUGCAACAGAUUUAAAUAUCUAUUUGAAAAAUCCCAACAGCUCAGUCAUCUUUGACAACAGAUGGAAAUGUCCGUUUGAUAACUAAAUUAGAAAUGUCAUCUGUUACAACAGAUAUCAAUAUUUGUUUAAACAUUUCCAACAGUUCAGUCAUCUUUCAUAACAGAUACAAAUGUCUAUUUGAUAAUUAAAUUAUAUAUGUCAUCUGUUGCAACAGAUAUUGUUAUCUGUUUGAAAUUCUCCAAUAGCUUAGUCAUUUGUUGCAACAGAUUUCAUUGCAAUUGAUUUAGGUGAAACUAAGGAUGAAAGAAUGAGCUCCUCAUUAACUUAAUGUUAAGAUUAAUAAUAGUACCUACAUCGAUCUAGGUGGAGCGAAGGAUGAAUGAAUGAGCUCACAGGGUCAACUACAAAUCCAAUUGAGUCGUUGUAUUUGCAUGGUGUUAGUAUUGCGUUCAUCCUGACCCGAGUCAUCGAUCGAUCACUCUGAGUUGAAAUAAGUUCUCAUUAACUUAAUGUUGAGAUUAAUAAUAGUACCUACAUCGAUCUAGGUGGAACUAGGGAUGAAUGAAUAAUCUAAAAGUGUCAAUUAUAACUUUAUUAAGUCUUUUGGCAAUUGCAUGAUGAGACGAUAUUGCAUUCCUCCCGACAAGAGUCAUCAAUCGAUCACUCUGAGACGAACCGAUUCUUACUACCUCAUAUAUUUAACUAACACCUUAAUUAAAUAAUUUGGGACUAGGGGUGAGUUCUCAUAGGGUCAACUAAAACUUUCAUUGAGUCUUUUUGCAAUUACAUGAUGAGAUGGGACUGCAUUUCUCCCGACAAGAGUCGUCGAUCGAUUACUCUGAGUCGAACCAAUUCUUACUACCUCAUAUGUUCAACUAAUACCUUAAUUAAUUAAUCUAGGACUAGGGGUGAGUUCUCAUAAUGUCAACUACAAUAGAUGACAAUAUCUAUUUGAUAAUUUACAACAGAUGGGUAAUCUAUUGCGACAUUGACUUAAUCCAUUUGAUAAUUUACAACAGAUGAGUAAUCUGUCGUAAUAGAUAGCUUAAACUGUUUGAUAGUUUACAACAGAUUCAUGAUCUAUCACAACAAAUGACGUAAUCUGUUUGAUAGUUUACAAUAGAUGCGUAAUAUGUUGUAACAUAUUAUAAAAUCUGUUUGAUUCGAUCGAACAGAAAAGACAUCUGUUGCAAUAGGUUGAACAUUUUUUGAUAUAUAAUUUAAUUGAGUUCAUAUGUUAGCCUAAUACCUUAAUUGAAUGUGAAUUCUAAUAGGGUCAACUACAACUUCAAUUUAGUCUUUUGGCAAUUGCAUAAUGAGACGGUACUGCAUUCCUCCCGACCAGAGUCGUCGAUCGAUCACUCUGAGCCGAACCGAUUCUCACUACCUCAUAUGUUGUACUAAUACCUUAAUUGAUUAAUCUAGGACUAGGGUACUAAUACCUUAAUUGAAUAAUCUAGGACUAGGGGUGAGUUCUCAUAGUGUCAACUACAACUUCAAUUGAGUCUUUUGACAAUUGUAUGAUGAGAUGGUACUGUAUUUCUCCUGACCAGAGUCGUUGAUCGAUAAAUUUGAGCUGAACCGAUUCGUACUACCUCAUAUGAUAGACUAAUACCUUAAUUGAUUAAUCUAGGACUAGGGUACUAAUACCUUAAUUGAAUAAUCUAGGACUAGGGGUGAGUUCUCAUAGGGUAAACUAUUGAUUAAUCUAGAACUAGGGGUGAGUUCUCAUAGGGUCAGCCACAACAGAUGGCAGUUCCUAUUUGAUAAUUUACAAUAUAUGGGUAAUCUGUUGUGACAUAUGACAAUCCAUUUGAUAUUUUACAACAGAUAGGUAAUCUUUCACAAUAAUUGACUUAAUCUGUUUGAUAAUUUAUAAUAGAUUUGUAAUCUGUUGUUACCUAAUCUGAUUAAUAAUUUACAACAGAUGAGAAAUCUAAUCCAACAUGUUGAAUAUUUAUUUUUUACAAUUUCAAUUGAGUUCAUAUAUUAGACAAAUAGUACCUAAAUUGAUUAAUCUAGGACCAGGGGUGAGUUUUCAUAGGGUUAACUAGAGUACUCGGUCAACUACGACUUCAAUUAUUUUUAUACAAUUUUAAUUGAAUUGCCCUUUUGGCAAUUGCAUGAUUAGAGGGUUAAAAAUUAUGCAUAUAUUUAAUGAUUUUAAAAAUAAUUAAGAUCAGUUUGGACCAAAUUAACAUUUUAAAAACUACUUGUCAUUCUUUUCUAAAAUACAAAUCAACCCAUACAAAAUGUUUCAUCAUUUCAAAUCUCAAGGUCUCACUUUUUCUCUCUCAUUCUCACUCAAUAAUACAGUAUAGACAACAACUACUCAACAAAUUUGCUCAACCCUCCACAACAGAUCACUUUUCUUCUCAUUUUUGACCACAUAGGUAUUAUUUUUGACUUCAUUCUUGCUUGUAUCAGUCAUUUUCUUUGUCUUCGUUGGUAACAGGGUUCGAGAAGAGCUCUAUAUUUGUUAUUUUUUUUUUAAAAGAAUAAGGGCUUUUAAGUUAAUGAUGAAAAAUAAAACUUUUAGUUUAUUAUCUUUAAGAAUGGGUUUACAAUUUUGAGUUUUGAUGGUACAAUAGUAGAAAGAACUCGAGACAUCCCUAGUUUCCAUUGUAGUGUUCCGUUGACUAUCGUAGUAUAGUUGGAUGGUGUUUGUGGUGUUGGUGUUGGUGUUUGUGGUUGUUGUGGUGGCACUGGUAGUGGCAUUGGUUGGUAGUGUUCGUGGUGGCUGUCGGUGGUGUUGGUAUUCAUGGUGUUUGUUUUGUUUGCAUUGGUUGGUGGUGUUUAUGGUGGUGGCUAUUGGUGGAUCGGUAUUCGUGGUGUUUGUUUUGUUGACAUUGGUUGGUGGUGUUUAUAGUGGCGGCUGUUGGUCUGUCGGUAUUCGUGGUGUUUGUAAUGUAUUUUUUAAAAUCUAUGCAUACAUCAAUUGUAAUGUAAUUUUUGUUUUUCUUUGUCUAUAGGUAAAACAUGUCUCCCAAAAGAUAAGAAAGUAAAAGUGGAUCAAAGUUUGACCACCCAAAAAAAAAUGCUACAGUAUAGAAGGAUUCGGAGGAGCUUCCUGAACAAUCUCAGUCAGGGAAAAGUGAAGCUGAUGAGAGAUAUGAAAAUAACAUUGAGGAAGGUGGACAAGGAUCCGUAGAUGGUGAUGAAGAAAAUAAAAGUGAGAAAAAAGAGGAAUUGUAGAAAGAGAAAUAUAAAAUGGAUGAUCAUCAACAUGAUGAUAAUGGAUCACCGAUGGGGCGUGAAUUAAUAUUGACAUCCCAGCAUGAUCCUGUCAAAACUUUUAGUAUUGACAAUUUUCAAGUUGUGAUGCCGAUAAAUGACCGAGAAGGAAAACAACUAACUGGUCAAAUUGUACUUAAAUGUCAGAUGGGGAAAUUUUUUGAACAUUUUAUGAAAAUUAUGAAGAAUGAAAACAUAGGUGGACUUUUUAAGAAGAGUUGCUUUGGACGCUUUCUUGAGCUGCCUGAGGACCUCUCUGACCGUAUUGUUUCCCUAUAACGAUGGUAUAUGGUCUUCUCAAGCGCAGGAUCAAGUAUGCGGGGGAUGAUAAAGAUCCGGAGGAGGGGGGCAAAAAGAAGAUGGAUGAAAUCUGGAUAAAAAAUUGUGGCAUACCCGUUUGCUUUGGCUUGCAAGAGUUUGCCAUAGUGACGAGUUUGAGAUGCCAUCAUCCAGAAGGACCACUACCCCACAAAAGAUCCAAGGCAAGAAAAUGCAAGAAAAGAAUAGAUGGGUUGUUUGACAUUGCUUGACGUGGCUACAAAGCAUCGGAUUUAUUGACAGAUAUCGAGGAUAAAACCAUACCAGAGUAGUACAGGGAGCAAUUGUGUUUAGUUUAGUUUACCUAUUCAGUUAUAUUGGAAAGAGAUGUCAACAAGGUCAUAGAAGAUGAUUUGUUGGAGCGUGCUGAGGAUUUUGAUAAAGUCAACAAUUAUCCCUGGGGAUAUGACAACUUCUACUUGACUGUCCAAUAUUUACUGAAAAAGCUAUCCUCAUAUUGACAGAUAUCGAGGAUAAAACCAUACCAGAGUAGUACAGGGAGCAAUUGUGUUUAGUUUAGUUUACCUAUUCAGUUAUAUUGGAAAGAGAUGUCAACAAGGUCAUAGAAGAUGAUUUGUUGGAGCGUGCUGAGGAUUUUGAUAAAGUCAACAAUUAUCCCUGGGGAUAUGACAACUUCUACUUGACUGUCCAAUAUUUACUGAAAAAGCUAUCCUCAAGGACGACCACAUUAUAAGGCUUUCUUGGGCUUUCAUGGUAAAAUUAAUCACUAAUUUUAAUCAUCCAUUAAUUUAUAUUGAGUAUAGUUAUUAUGACUAUUUUUUUUGUCUUGUUUCCUGUUUACAUUUUUUAGGCUUAGGCAUUUAAAGCCAUUCCUCCCCUCCAAAAGCAGUUAAUCAAUUACCCGAAUGAGGUUUCUCAUCCAAGGAUGUUUAGGUGGUUGGCUGCAAAGAGCAACACCAAUAUUAAGGAGUCUGAUCUUUUAACCCUUCGGAUGAUGCAAUAUGUCUUCUUCAAGUAAAAUAAUUCUAUUCAAAGAUAAGAAAGAUAUUGAACAGAUGAUAUAUCUGGUGCAACAGAUGUUAUAUCUGAUGCACCAGAUAGGACAUCUAUUGCGACAGGGCAUAUCUUGCAUCAAAUUACCCAUCUGUUGCUUUGGUUCUCUGAACCCGACUCCUAAAAGAUUAACCAUCUACUGCAAUUCAUGCAACAGAUGUGUAAUCUGAUAACAUAUUGUUCAUCUAUUGCGAUGUACAUAUCAUCUAUUGCAUAACAGAUUACCCAUCUUGUGCAACUAUUGCAACAGAUGAUUGAUAUUUUACAUCAUAUUAUCUAUGUAUUGCUCUGUUUCUCUUAACCAGACUCAAACAGAUUUUAACCAUAUACUUCAAUCUAUGCAACAGAUGGGUCUUUUUUUUUUUUUUUUUUAAAACGUAGCCCAACUAUGAAAAUUAUUUUAUUAUAUUAUAUGAUUUAAAUGCAUCUGUCUUUAUUUUUCUUUUUUAUAAGUUGUGCAUCCAUGGAUCGUGCCUACUGAGGAGGAUUCGGUGAUGACUUCUUAUAUUACUCUAGGUCAUGUUGAUACUAUAGUAGAACCAAUGGUGGAGUUAAUAAAGAAGGAAUUGGCUGGAGCAACAGCCAUAAGAAGAACAGAUCCGGGUGCUUCUUCUGGUGGAGUUGUUGUUAUUGGUGGUAGGCAUGCUGAUGCUUCUACCACUCGUGAUGAUGAGCAUGUUGAUGCUCAAGAAAUAAUAAAUAUAUUUGAAAAUAGCCCUUUUCGCCCUUACACAGGUCCCUCUCAUCCCUCUUCACCCUCGUGUUCUCGUUGCGAAUGUGAAGAGUGCAAGGAUAGACAGGAUAAACUCUUUGAAAAAGUAAAGGCUAUCUCUAAAGCUAUCGAGGAAUUCAAAUCCAAAAGGUGUGUCAUACCAUCUAAGAAGGUGAGGGAGCCGCACACUCCUACAGUGUUGGUUAGGAAAAAGAAAAGAACAAUUAGAGAUGUACUCUACGGUCGAAAAUCAAAAGAAAUUGCAAUUCCUCCCUCUCCAAAAGCUUUUAAAGUUCAAGGGUCACUCAAGAAGGUGGACAUAUACGCGAAACUUGGCACCGAAGAGAAGAGGGAUCUGCGACAGGCCAAGAAUGCCAAGCCAGGCAUACCAGAUUACCCCAGGCCUCCCAUUUCCCCCCAAGAUUUCUAGACUAUGACUGAUAUGCUUAUGCCGUACGAGGACAAGGCAAGUUUAAUUUUCCUAAACUAGCCCUUCUAAUCUACCCCAUGAAUAAUGAAAUCUGUUGCAACAACUGGGUAUACUGGUGCAACUGGUAGUGGUUCUGUUGCAACUUAUUAUCCAUCUGUUGCUUAAGUUGCAUUGGAUGGACCCUAUGUAACAGAUGGACCAUCCGUUGCAUCUUUACUAUUACUAACCUAUUUAAAAAUUAACUUCUUAUCUCACAGCAUGUUGACAUAAUUCUCUAUCUCAUGAGGAAAAGACAAUUAACGUACCGAGAAACUUAUGACACUGCCGAUAGGAUAAUAGAACUCGACUUUUGCAAGAAGCUCAAGGAUAGGUACGAUCAACUCAAUGGGGUGAUGUUAUCCCUUUGCGUGGGACUUGAUUUCCUAGUUCCUACGUUGCUCUUGGAUGAAGAAGAAACGAUAAAAUAUGUUAGAGGGGACAGGCCAAAUCCACACGGUAAGAGUUGGACCAAGGAAAAAAGGAUUCUUGGAGUCAUUAGUGUGAAUGACAUGCAUUAUCGGGCUGUUAAGAUACUACUCAAAGAGGGAAAGAUCAAUGCUUAUGACUCCAACGUACCUCUCAUUGAUAAUUUGGAUCUUUUUCUCCUCGUGGAGCCACUGAUGGUGCUGUUGCCUAUUUUGGUGAGGGAGAGUAAACUGAUGAAUCAUUUGCCAAAGGAAGUGUUGAUGGAGAAAUCAUGGGAUUUUGAAGGUCGAAAUAAUGGAAUGAUCCUUCCAAAAGAUGAUGCCGCUAAAGAGAGCGGCUCGCAUGCUCUUGCACACAUCGAAUGUUUGCUGACCGGCACAGAAAUGUCCAAUCCAAGGACUUUUCUGUGUGACAACCCUGUGGCAAACCUGCAAGAGGUCUGGGGUUAUGAGGUACUAACUGAACGCUUGAAGCCUGUGUAUAUAGAAGAGCCUCUGAAAUAGAAAUUUUUAAUUUCAAGUCACCCUUCACUUUAUUACAUGUACAUGUAGUGGCAAUAAUUUUUUCUGAUGAAGUUGAGUUUUUUACAAUGCAAUAGAUUAGAUUGUUAAUCUGUUGUAAAAUAUAUUUAAUCCAUUCUGGUAGAUAGUUUAUCUGUUGCAAUAGGUUGGUCAUCUAUUGCAUUACGCUGAUGUUAUUUCUGUGAAUAAUCUAAUAAUCUAAGUCUAAUCUGUUACAACAGUGGGAAGACCUGUUUGAUAAUUUCCAACAGAUGACCUAAAUUUUACAACAUAUGCGUAAAUCUUUUUGAUAUAUUUCAACAGUUACGCUUGAAUAUCCAUGUGCUCGACAACACCAAACCAGUAGCAAAUACACACACCACCAUGAAAAUUUCAGUAAUUAGGCUUGAAUAUCUAUGUUCCCAACAACACCAAACUAGUAGUAAUAACGACAAUAAUGUAGUAUCUUCUUGCUCGAUUUUGUUUCUCUUCAGAAGCCUUGACUUUGUUAAACAAACCCCAGAUUACACGAUUUGCUUGUGAAGGGUGUUGUUCUUCAUACCAAUCAAAGUAAUCUCAUCCACCCAAUUUCUAUAAAAAAGAGAACACAAUUACAAAAUAAUUACAAAUCAAUAAUUAAUCAACUAAUUAAAUAAAAAAAUAUUCUCUUUAAAAUUUUACAAGUAAAAAACCUACGACCCAAAUUUUGUUGAGCUCAAGAAGUCUUUAACAGAGCUUCAUGACCGCACUUAUAAUAUCAAAAAUCUUUAUCACAAAAAAUAGUGGAAGAUGCGCUCGACAUUGUCAAGCUCAGUUGGAAAAAAUGAAAGAAAUAAUUUGAAGAAUUUGGAUAGAUAAAAGAAGAUGAUGAAGAAGAAGAAGAUUUGGGAAUUUAGGGUUAAAUUUUAGGAGGAAGAUGAAUAUAUAAGACCAUGGAGGGAAAAAAAUGACCGUUGGGGGCCAAGUGACGGCAAGUCAGCAAAAUGUGCCAGACUGACACAUUUGGUGCCUAUUUUAUUUUAUAUGUUUACAAUGAACACUGUGUACUUGAUGCCUAUUUUAUUUUAGGUGUUUGAACUGAACACCGUCGAUAAGUUGCGCUUUUUUUAUUUCAAUUCAAUUCACUUUAACCUUUUUACAUGUAGAGACAAUUUUUUUAUGUCAAACGAAAGUUGAAUUUUUAUAAUGCAACAAAUUCUUCCUCCGUUGUAAUAAUUAUUCUACCUGUUCUGACAUAUAGUUUAUCUAUUGUAAUAGGUUGUUCAUCUGUUGCAUUAUCUCGAUAUUUUUAUCUAAAGUCCAUCUGUUGCAAAAGUGGGAAGGCCUGUUUGAUAAAUUCUAACAGAUCACCUACCUGUUGCAACAUAUGUCUAAAUCUGUUUGAUUUUUCCAAUAGAUGUGUCGUCUGUUGUAACAGAUACAUUAUCUGUUGCAAUAUUUGAAUCUAGUAUUCCUUUUCAACUAAUAAGUUCAAAUCUAAGGAAUAAAUAAAAUUCGUAGACAAAAUAAAAUAAAUCGAAGCCUUCAUAAAUUAGUUGAAAUAAGUCAACGAAUAAAUGAAAUGUAAAAAAAUUGUUAUGCGUACAGAUAUCAACAAAUACAUCAACAACAAUUUAACUAUACUACCAAAGAUUGCUUUGACAGGCUCAAGCUAUAAAGCUCUACUCAGUAUAGAUAAGUUUUCUUCAUCCAGUGCUAUGAAAUCCAGCUUUGCUCGUCGUGGAUCUUUAUUGUCCCUUACAUACGAUUUCUGCGCUUUCUGUUCUCUGUAUUUUCAUAAAAAGAGUAGCAUAUUGUCAAUGUUUUUCAACAAUAGCUUCUUCUACAUCCACCUGGAAAGCCAGAAUUAGCCAAUGCUAAUCACCGAGAUCCAACAAAAUAGAAAAGAAUAACUCAUCUCUUCUAGCAAAUCAAACAGGUCUUCCUCCCAUUUUAAAUUAUCCCAAAUAGAUUAUAUUUCUGUUGCAAUAGUGAAUUAACUGUUAGGACAAAUUCCUACAUGAGGAAGACCCUAUAUGAAAAUUUUCAAUGGAUGAACCAUCCGUUGCAACAUAUGAAUCAUCUGUUGCACCAGAUAGGUCGUCUGUUGGUACAAAUAAAAGUGGUACGAAAAGCUAUUUAAUUUACUAAAAUAGACAAGACAUAUGUUACACCAGAUAAAGUAUCUGGUGCAAUAAAUUAGCCAACUGUUGCAACAGAUAUAGAUAUCUAUUUGAUAAUUUUCAGCAGAUGUGUCAUCUGUUGAAACAGAUAUGUGUCUGUUUGUUUUGCCAGUUGGAAGACAUAUAAUAUAUUCACCUUCUUCAGCUCAUGCUGCUCUCCUUUGGACAUUAUACGUUGCUCAGUGCAACACACAGAUAGAGGAGUUGCAAUUUUGCUUUUUUGGAUGCUUGAUAAUGACCUGGAAAUCACUCUCCUUCUCCUCUUAGCCCUAAUCUCUAAUGGAGCGGAUGAAAAUAAAGUCCUCUUUGAUGGAAUAAGACCCCUCUUAGAUAUUAAUUCCUUUACCAAAGCAGUUAAUGCAUUAAUAACAUUAAUCACUACAUCAUGUUUUGCCCUGCAGUCUUGACAUUUACAUGCAGAACAUUUGCUGGGAGAGGCAAAAUCUGUAUAACCAGUAUGAUCAUACUCAUAAUAGUUUGCUUUAAAUACUGUAAGAGGAAUAUCAUUAGCACCAAUAGAAGCACCACUACCACCACCAACAGCUCCAUCACCACUAAGACCAUCAACAACAACAAGCCCACCCUUCAAAAUUAUUUUUUUUAUAAUGGAUGUUGCUUCAAAUAAUUUUAUUUUUAUUCUGUCGAUGACCUUAGGGUCCGAUAAAGUUUGCACAGAUCAUAAAGUAAGAAAAAAUGGUAUCUUCAACUCUCGAUUGGUCAAAACUAGCGACAGAUGUACAAUCUAACAUAAAUCAUUACAUAUAUUAGAAUGAUGAUUAGAUCAUUCAAAAAAAUCAUUAAUUGAAAGAAAAAUUAAUUGUAAUUAUAUAAUUAUACUUACUUCAUCCUUCGGGGGGUUGAAAAGAUCAAGAAAUUUUAUAUUUUUAUCAGUUUUGGCUGACAACCAUCUCAAGAUUCUUGGACAAGAAACUCCUUCUUGGUAGUUCACUUGUUGUCUCAAAUAAGGAAUGGCUUCAAAUGCCCAUGCCUAUAAAAUAAUGCCAAUAAAUCAAAACCAUUAUUGAAUAAAAAAGUGAAUGAUAUCAUAAUAGAAGAAAGAAACAUUUACCAUGAAAGUCCAUGGGAAGCCAUAUAAGUUGACUGUCUUUGGUGCUAACGGAUUCAACAAAUAUUUGACAGUCAUUUUAAAGCUAUCAUACCCCCAAGGAUAGCUGUUAAAUGCCACUAGAUCCUCGGAGAGCUUUAUUAAACCGAGACUUAUGUUGUUGUUAACGUCUCUCGCCCACAGAAUAUUAUGUACAAACCAAACCAAGCACAAUGACUACUUUUGCUUCUUUGAAAGUCCUUUAUCUUUCAACGCUUCUAUCAAAUUUUUAUUUUUGAAGCUUGGACCAACAAUGGACACCAGGUCACUACGAUCACACAACUUGUCUUUGCCUUUUUUGGGUGUGAGGGGUUCUUUUUUUUGGGUUAGAAUAAGUAUAACUUGAGAAGGCGGAUAACAUUUUAGUCCAAUAACUAUGACAAACUCGUUCCAACCAAAACAAAUAGGCAUGCCACAGUAAUUUGUCCACACCUCAUCUAUCUUAUCUUUGUUUUCAUACAUAAACCUACGCUUGAGAAGUUCAUAUACCAUUUUUAUUUGGAAACGAGCAUUGUUGUCCUCCGAUAAAUCAAGAUAUUUUCCAAAGCAGCUGUCCCUGAAAUAAGCAUCCAAUUUUUGUUCUCAAAGUAUUUUUCUGAAGGCAUCGAAAGGUUUUUCUAUGGCUGACUUAACAACGAAUUACCCGUUAAAUCUACGGCACCAUCGCACUGCAUUCCACAGGAUAACGAUCAAUGAUGAAGGCUUUGACCCACUCUUCGGUGGAAGGGAUAUUAGCAUCUGUAUCAUCUCUUUUGAAAUAUUUCUCCUCCCUGUGUUCAUCAUAUUCUGCUCCCGAUUGAGAUAACACUUGUAAAGCAAGCUCAUAGUGUGGUGGAUGUAGCCUAGCUGCUUCACUUGUUCCUUUACUUGGACUUAAUUCAGUUUCUGUUCUUUUGGGAACCAUAUUAUAUAAAAUUAAUAAGAACAUAGAAGAAUAUAUUAUUGUUGAUGAAUGCAUCAUUAAAAAAGGAUAACAGUAAAUCAACAAGCAAAAUAGUAAAAUAACAGUUGCAACAGAUUAUCGAUCUGUUGCACCAGGUAGCAUAUCUGUUGCAGCAUAUAACCAAACUAUUGCAGUGGAUGAGUAAUCUGUUGCAACAAUAUAAAACAUAUUACUCAUCUUUUAAGAUAGAUGAAUGUUCUGUUCAACAGAUCACACAACUAUUGUGACAUCAUCUGUUACAACAUAUGAGUGAUUUGUUGGAAUAGUUAAAUAAUCCGUAGCAAUGACUGAGUAAUAUAUUGUGACAAUACAAAAUAUAUCAUUCAUCUGUUGAGAAAGAUGAAUGGUUUGUGCAACAGAUCACACAUCUGUUGCAAUAUGAGUGAUCUGUCAGAGCAAUUAACUAACCUGCAGCAACGACUGAGUAAUCUGUUGCGACAAUACAAAACAUAUCACUCAUCUUUUGAGAAAGAUGAAUGGUCUGUGCAGUAGGUCACACAUCUAUUGCAACACACGAGUGAUCUGUUGGAACAGUUAUCAACGGUCAAUAUUGUUUAAAUUUCUUCCAACAUAGCGUCGUCUAUCGUGGCAGAUGAAUGAUCAGUUAGAAAAAUCAAGUCUUGGACAUUUCCUGUAGGAAGAGUUGAU
rnacentral:lncRNA from 1 species